rnacentral:lncRNA from 1 species
UUUUUGGAAAACUCUACAUAUUUCAACAAACACAUGACUAAAUCAUUACAACCAUAAUAUGGCAUUCUAUACGUACCCUACAGUUUUGUUCAUCUCAUUAAAGUUUAAACAUAGUUAGGCAGCGUGCCUAAUAAUUUGUUGAAAAUAAGCGACCCUACCUAAUAAUGUGACUUCAGUAUCACGGUAUAUUUCUAAAGCUGUUACAUGAGCAAUAACUUUGGAUAAGUCAUAGAACACUCACUCUGGUCACAAAAUAUGCGCACAUCAAUGCAAUCAAUCACACUAAUCUUUCACUUAAAUUCUUAAGACCUUCGUGAUCCACAAGCUAUGUGUUUAUGCUGAAGACUCCAACCUGCUUCUUUAGACUUUUUUUUUUUUAAGUGGAUACCUUCCUUUUAUGAUCCAUUUGUUUUAUUUAUUUAUUUUUUGACAACCUUAAUUAGUACAAUCUCGGGCCUUGGGGGCGUGUUUCUACUAUAGUAAACCUCGUAUUUUGUAAGAUUUAUGAGUUGUCUUGAAACUUUUCCAUAAUCUUUUAUAAUAUACUUCAUGCAAUUCGUAUCAUCAAUAGUGGUCAUGAAGAAAAAAGAAAACAAUCAUCAGUGCAUAAGAGGUGUGAGAUGAUUGGACACCUCUACAUACCCUAACAUUAUAGACAUCCCUGUAACAUUUCUCUCUUAAUAAGGAAAGUCAUCUUCACACAAAGAAUGAACAAAUAGGAAUGUAUAAAUUAUACCGCGUCGCACCUAUAUAUUUAAUAUUUAUGUAUGUGACCAAUUAAAAAUUAUGUCCCCAAUCAAGUCUAUCAUAGACUUUACUAAUUCCUAUUUUUAAUACUUCUUCCCCAUCUUACCCCUACUUUUUGCAUUGCAUGUGGUGAAUGGUUUCCAUAUUCAUAUCAAUGCUUAUAUUCUCAACAAAAGCAUUCAUAAGUAAUUUUUUUUUUCAACAAGUCAAAAUGAGAUAUAUUAACAAAAACGUGUUCUUUCAAGUACAAGACUUACUAAAAAAUAACGACCAAAUUCAAACAAUACAGAAUAUAGGUUAAGAACACACUUUUAACCUACAAAAGCAAAAAGAACCUCAUAACCAAUUCCUAAACAAGAAAACGGACAAAACCACCAAUUAUGGUAGCCAAAUGUUGCCUUCAGUUACCACAAAGAUAACAGCUUAAUUUUGUCCAAAAACUGGUGAAUACACACUUCUUGAUUUCUUCGUGCGUUUGUUUGGCAGAUUAUACACAAAAGGUUACUAACCAAAGCAAGAUUGGCGAAGUGGCAACUUGGUGAUUCAUAUUGUGAUCAAUGUGGUAACUUUGAAGAGAGUAUUCUACAUGUGCUUAGAGAUUUCCUUUUGGCGGUUAAUGUUUGGAAUCACUUGACAGAGGUCAAGCAUAUGGAAAGCUUUCUUCCUAGCUAGCUACAAAGACUGGAUUUAGUUAAAUUUUGGUGAGCAUAUUGGACAUCGAAAGAGUGUCAAGUGGGACACUACGGGCGACAACUUUCUAAUUGUUAUGGCAGUGGAGAAAUCAACGAGUUCAUAAUUCAUAGUUGAUGACAUUAAACUAGGAGGUUAGGAUCACACAUGUGUAUCGAGAAGUUAACCGGUGUGCGGAUGUUCUUGCCAACACGAGUAGUGAAGGUGACAUGAGAAUUACUUAUUUAGAACAUCCCCUCCAAGGAUGUCUCAAAUUUUAUCUGAUGAUUGGAGGGGUGUGUCUCUCCCCCGUUUAGUUUUAGUUUUUUCUUUUCAGGCUUAGGCCCUGUAUAAUACCAAAAAAUAAAUAAAAAAUAAAAUAUGUGGUUCCUUUUCUUUCCAAAUUACCAUAUGCAUGAACACCAAAUAAUCCGCAUGAUAGAACAACACAUCCGAAUCUAUCUAAUAAAUGACUAUACUUAACAAAAUGAUCCAACAUACUGAACAGAUCCACCGAAGAAAAGCCGAUCCAAACAUUCAUAAGCAUCUAUAUCUAUAUUUUAUAUAAAAAUAUACUCAAUUUUGAUAUGACAUUUUUUCUUUCGAUUUUACCACUUGUUCAAUUUUAUUUUACUAUUUCUUAUCAAUCAAAUCAGAAUUUUAUUGGUUACUACAUAUUUAUCUUCUUCUCCUUAUUUUCAUCUCACAAAAACAAGAGGCUUCUGUUACAUUUGUUCUCUCGGCAUCUACCCUCAAAAGAAUGUGUCACAUUAAACAUGAAUAAUUUUUUUCUCUUGUAUCAGAUAGUUAGUUAUGUAAACUACUUUCUUUCUUGGGUGUAUUAUGUGUUGUCCAAUUGUAAAUUAAAGUUUCCUCUAUAGUGUUAGUAGCCUUUGAAGAAUUGGUAGGGUGAUUGUCAUUUGAAAUAUUCAUACAUGCCAACUGUUGAGUACCGCGGAUUUAAAAUGGUAGCACUUUUAAACAUGAUUAAGUUCUAUGCUUAUUGAUUUCUUGUCUCAAAUUAUGUUUGUGGUCUAACAUGAAAUUUAUGCUUUUAUUGAUGAGAUAACACACCCGUUUGUUAUAGAUUAAAAGAAAAUUCAACGGUUGAUCUAUGAUUUACAUAUAUAGGUCAACCGUUGAGUUUUAAGAAGCGGCUAAAAAAGUUACAUUUUACGAACAAGUAUAUCUUUCACGUUAUGAAUCAUUUUACAUCUUACUGGAUAACAUACUAUCAAAUGUACUGCAAUCAAACGUGUUUUGUGAUUUCAAUUACAAAACUCACAUUGGUAAUAUAGUUAGUUUACUGUGACUUUUAUUCCCUAACUUGGUUAAGGUGUAAGAGGGGAAAAAAGAGAGUGUGCUAAAAAUCAGUAGUAGAAUUUAGACAAUACAAAAAUAUGCAGAAUGUAGCCUAAGUCAUGGUCAUGAAAGUGAAUGUCAAAUUUGCAAUGAUAACCAGAACAAGCAAAGAACAUUGUAAUUUCACAGAACUUGAUGUUCUAUAAGAUGAGGUUGAGCCACGGAUACUUCCACUGCUUCCGGUUGUUGAUGUAAAAUACCCUAUAUCAAAAAGCAUCAAAUUUAUUAAUUACAGCUAUUUAGCAAUAAAACUUUUUGUGCAAGUUGUAACAAAUUCAAAAGUAUCUGCCUGCACUCUUGUACCAUAUAUCAUGAUAAAAUUGUUAAAUGUAAUAAAAAUAGCUAGGGAAAUUAAUGUUUUACAUCAAAAACAUCUAAGAAUUUCUUUAUUUUGAUACCUGAAGGAGAAUUUGGAAUGUUGGAAAUAGAAACACCUGCCGGAGCUGGAAGAGAAGACGAAGUAGUUGAGCCUGAAAUCACAACAAAAAAUUAAGUUUUUUCACAUCUCUCAAUUACAUUACAUACUACAAUUUUUUAUUGCAAAAAUUAGCUGCGGUGAAAUCCGCGUGCAGAAAGACAUAUAGAUAGACAGACAAACAUAUUUAACUCAUACCAGGGCAGGUAUUGAUAGGAGGUGUUUGGAUAUUGCAAGCCAUGGGGAGCGCCAAAGCACGAGUCUGAUUGAUGUUAAGACUAGCAGCAAUAGAUGAAGCACCGCCAUCAACAACCUCACAUAGACAUUGUGGCUGUGACCCCACCACGGAGGCAAGUUGCGAGCAGCAACCAGAGGAAGGGGUGGAGGUCUGUCCUGUGAUGUAGUCAAGGCACGGAGAAAGACUUAUGAGCACAUUGGCGCAAUUUGAGUCGGUUUGUGCCACUGUGACACCCCUAAGAGCCACCAUAACAAAUAACAUGCUUAGCAGCAUCUCAAUGCUUCUCUGUGCCAUUGUUUUAAGAUAUUGUGAUGAGUUUUGGUGAUCAAAUGUCAAUAUUUAAAUGCUGAAUUGGUUUGUUUCUUUGGGUGGAAAAGUCACUAGAGAAUGGCUUAUAGCGACAAAAAGAAAGUGUGAAAUAAAGAAGGGGAACGCUUUUUUAUGCUUUACAUUUACAUAAAGAAUCUAAAUGAAACUUUAGGAAUUUGAUUUAAUAAAGUUUCCUUACGUGUUCUCUCAUAUGGUACUUGUGAUCUUUUCUGCUUUGUUAUUUUUAUGUGUCCUUAACAUUUGAGUAAGUAAAUGAUUAUUGGGGGUAUGGUAUAAAGUAGCCGAAUGACUAUAAAUGCAUUUUCUUUUCAUUAUGGGAUUUGAGAAUGAUUUGUCAUCAAAUUAGUGUACAUAGGAAAUAUUUCAUGUUUUUUUUUUUUUUUGUUAAGUGGCCUAGUGACUAGAGAAAUUCAUCUUAAAGGUGAAAUAGUGGAGUGUUCGAGGUUCGAACUCCAGCCUCGCAUACAUAUUGCAUUAUCCCUUACCAAAUGAGCUAAGCUCACGAGACGAAAUAUUUCAUGCUUUUAGAGCAACAAUUAUAGAGUAAGUUACUAAAAGGGAAUUAAAAUUUCAAUGCAUUAGAAAAUUCCAAAAACAAAUGCUUAAUAGCGAAGGCAGGUUUUAAGUAUGCCCCAUCUAACAUGCAAUACUUUAUUCGAACAACUUUUGGAUUUUUACUAAUUUGGACGUUUACACACAAGCCAAUCCAUGAUUCUUUUUUUUUUUUUUUUUUUUUGGUAUAAAAGAGGGCUCUCAGAGCCCAAAGGAAAGAAAACUAAGAAAUUAAACGGACGUUCCUAGGCAUGCAAGCCCCAGAAAUAUCAUCAAACAAAAGACUCUGAAGCUCACUAGGUGGAGUCUCCAGAAUAUGAAAAUCUAGAAAAUCCGUCGAAAUGCUGAAAUUAGCAAGCCAAUCUGCACUUCUGUUGCCUUCCCGCCAAGUAUGGGUAAUUUUGACAGUCCAACUCAAACUCAAAAGUUGUCGAAUACGCCUGACCAAAGUAGGAGUUGUUCCACUAAAAUUGCAAUUUUCAGUAAUCAUGUCGACCAAUAUCUUUGAGUCACUCUCCACUAUAAGAUGAGUGGUAUUCUCCCUCCACGCCAUGUUCAAACCUAGGUACAUGCCCCAUAUUUCAGCAUGAAAAGCAUCACACAUUCCAAUCUUCUUGAAGUAGCCUUUGAUCCAUCUGCCAUCAGAGUCUCGAAGAAGCCCUCCACACCCUACAAGAGUACCAGAUCCCUUCCAAGCACCAUCACAAUUAAGCUUAACCCAACCAAACGGAGGUCGCAUCCAACCGAUGUAUAUAAUUUCCUUUUGAUGCGAACUUUUAUGCACCAACUUCGUAUUGUCUUCUAUCUCUCUAGUAAACUUUUGAAUCACCAGUGUUGGAUUGCUUGGUCUUUGAAAUCCUAUUUCAAAAAUAGAUUUGUUUCGCCAAUUCCAUAAAUACCAACAUGUUGUCAUGAAAGUAGUCUGCCAAGUAGCAGGAUUAUCUCCAAUCCCUUUUUUAUUAAGGUUGUUAAAAAUCCACUCCCUGCAAUCAAAAGAGAAGAAAUUAGUUAUGUAAUUAUGUGGGAUAAGUCUGAGCCAUACCUGAGUAGCGUGCACACAAUCACGAAGGACAUGAAUGACUGUUUCAUCCUCUCUCGCACAACAAGGACAAGUAGGGGAGAUACCAACCCCCCACUUGCUACGACGAUAAUUGGUAAGGAUCCUUCCAUGAGCGGCCAACCAAAUAAAGGUUUGGAUACGAUGGGGACCCUUCCAAUUCCAUAAGGUCUUCCAAUCACCUCCUACAGCAAAGGGGGUCUCUUGCUGCAAAUUGUAAGCACUUUGGACAGUAAACUUGAGAGUGUUAGUUCCUCCCCAUCCUAUAGUAUCUGGGCCAUCAAAAUCAGAAGGGGUUGGGAGGGCUAAAAUCUGGUUAACAAUGUCCACAUGCAAGUUAUCCAUCAAAAAAUUUAGGUCCCAGACACCAGAAGUAUUAAUAGCAUCCCUAACUGAAAUAGUAGUAUCCACAUAAGAUUGAGUAGAAGAAGAGAAGAGAGAAGUAUUAUUCGAGACCCACUUAUCGAGCCAAAAGUUAGUACUUCUUCCAUCUCCAAUUUGCCAAAUAACAUGACGCUUAAAAUCAUCCCAAAUUCCUACAAUCGCUUUCCACAGGGGAGAGUCAUAAGGUUGGGAGCUAAUAUUGUUAUUAAGAUCAUUAUUUCUACCGUACUUACUGUAAAGAACUCUACACCAGAGCUUAUCUGGUUGCUUGAUAAGAUUCCAUAACAUCUUCAUAAGGAAAGCCUCAUUCAUAUGAUGAGGCCGCUUAAAACCAAGACCACCAUUCAUCUUAGGAAGACAACAAACAUCCCAACUCACCAAAUGAGCUUUACGCCCCUGAUCUGAGUCUCCCCACACAAAACCUCUUUGAAUUUUUUCAAUCUCAUCACAUAUGGUUUUUGGGAUCUUAGCAUACUGCAUGUGAUAGUAAGGAAUGGAGCUGAUGACAGAUUUAGAAAGGGUGAUUCUACCUGCUAAGCUUAAACAUUGUUGCUUCCAACCACUUAACUUGUUUUGAAUUUUGUUGAUAAUAUGAUUGAAAUGACCUCUAGAAGUUCUACCUGGUGUUAUAUUCGCCCCAAGAUAUUUACCCAAACUGUUAACCUGAUUAAACCCUGUAUGUUGAAUAAUAUCUUCCCGAAGAUGGUUGUCAACAUUCUUGGAAAAAUACACCUGAGUUUUUUCUCUAUUAAUUUUUUGCCUAGAAGAUUGGCAGAACAUAUCAAGGCAAUGUAAAACACAAUGAGCCUGUUCAAUGGAGGCUUCUGCAAAAAGAAGAAGAUCAUCAGCAAAAAGUAAAUGAGAAAUCGGGGGACCAUACCUGCCAGCACGCAUAGGUUUCCAGUAAUCAGCUUCCACCUGAUCAGCUAGUUGGUACAAAGGAGUGGAUAACAGAUAGUGGAUGAAUUUAUAGUUGAUUGUAAAUAAGCUAAUUAAUAACAGAUAAUUUAACCGAUUGAAUUAGUAGUGUUUGAAAAAUAAAUGGUUGAACUAACCGAUAAAUAUAAAAUGGUAUAAAAUAAUUUUUAAUUCAUAUUUAUUUUAUUGCAAUAAAUUACCAAUAAAAUUGAGGAAGAAAAACUAUAAACCGUAAACUCGAACGUAACUUAUAGCAGCUUAUCAAAAAUAUGAUGUAAGCUAGUAAAAAAAGCUAUAAAUAUGUGAGGAAAAUUUUUGUCAUAUAAACUUAUCGGUUAUGUGUUAUAAGUUCAAAAAUUUGUCUUGUCAAACAAAGCUAAUAAUCAAUGACAAUUUUUUUAUGAAGGAAAAUUUAGAGAGGUUGAUGUCUCAUUCAUUCCACUACAGGAAAACUUGAGAGUUCAUCAAACAUGAGAUUUAAAUUAAUUAACCUAACUCCAAGAAGACUAUAUAUGACAAACAAAAUUGUAUAUUGAUUAAUUAUUUGUCAUAUUCAAAAAUAGAAAACGAUAUAGAACAAUAUAUAGUUUAUCAUGGAUUCCUUGUUGCCCACGUUUUGUGUUAUUGGCGAUUUGUGUUGGGGCGAGAAUAAUCAAGUGAUAAUUUGAGGCAAACAUUAAUGGUACAAUGAGAAAAAGACAAAUACGACUUGUUGAGAGUUAUAAACACCUUUAUACAAAUUUCAUUGAUUUAUCCAAAUUUAAUAUAAUAUAAUUGAUUAAACUGAUUCAACUAUAUUGAUUGAAGAACAUUAAUUUGUUAUUUCAUAAAUGUUAAGACCAAAUUGUCCAAUUCUUGCAACUUUUUGGAUAAAAAAUGGUGAUUCCUCUAUGUGUUUUAGGUUAUGUCAUCUCCAUGUUUCCAUCUUUGAAGUGAUGCAUCGCUCACUUGUUAAACAUCAACGUGAAUGUCCAUACUGCCUUUUUUGCGGCAUGCUCAAGUCAAUCCGUAUGAAUAAAAUGUUUCUUUUAUGUUCGAAUGAAUUGGCAAAUAAACUACAUUUAUUUAUAAGAGAUAAGUUGACGUCUUUGUGAACUUAUGCAACUACAUUUACUUGUUAGGAGAUGAGAAUUCACCUUGUGUGUUUAAUCGGAUCUCUAUCGAGAUUAGUGAUUGCUAAACAGCGAUGAUUAAUAUUAUUUUGUACUCCUAUAAUAUGACUCACAUAAGAAACAAGCAUAUAUCAUAUUUUCGGUCUUGAUUUUUUAAUCAUCUUGUAAUUCUUUGAUUGUCACUGUUGUGAAUUCUUUAGUUAGUUAGCUCUCACAACCUGUAAUGAUAAACUUGUUUCCAUUUUGUUACUUGUUCAGUUUGGAUGUUUUCCUUUUCAUGUGUUCUGCAAAAUGCUAAAAUCAUAUCCUCUUGUAUGCAAGCAAUGAUGAAAAAUAAAUUCGCAAAUUAUGUUGUCUGCUGGAAACAUGUGACGACCAUAAUUCUUUCAUUAAUAAAGGUUCAUUUGAAUGUAUUGAAAAAGUACAAGCACAUCACAUGUUAAUAGUUUGUUAACAUAUCAUGUAAUUUGUUACAGAGAGAAGAAUGGCUGCUCAGACUUCUCAACCUACUUAGGCGUGACAUAGAGAAAAUAAUGUUUGUUUGUACAACUAGCUAGCUAACUGAGCCUAGUGCAAGCUGCUUCUUGCCUAUGUUUCCGCUAAUUGAAAAUAAAAGUUGUUAAUUAUACUGUAAUUAAAAAUGUGUAAAUGUGUAGCCUUUAAGUUUAUACAUAAAUUUCAAGCAAGACGAGGUUCAGAUGUUUCCAUGUAGAGAAGAUGGAAAUAUUAUGAUGUUGAUGACUAUACAAGCCUUUUUUCCGGUGUAAAGAGUAUAAAAUGACGAGGAAGUUUGCAUGGUUAUAAGACCUCUUGUCCUUUUAAUAUGUGGAGAGUUGUAUCAACAUGUACAUGUAACAUGACCUUUAUUAUUGUUGUUGUUGUUAGUGUUCAGACGAGUGUCCGUCCUUUUUAUUUCGUUAACAUGUAUAAAUUGUAAAUUAAGGACUAUAUUUUCUUUUUAAUAAAUUAGUUAGAUUUUGAUUAAAGUAUAUGUAUAAAUGUUUGUGAUUUCAAAUUGUAACAACAUCCUUAUCUUUUUAAAUUACACCAAUAAUAUAACAAAUACUCGUAAUAUAUUUGGCAAAAAAUAUAUACACAUAAUAUAAAAUUUUAUAUUUUUUUAUGACAUCAACAAUGUUGAGGUUGUUCCUAUUUAUACAUUGAUAUAUAUAAUAUUUUUGAGGUUGUUCCUAUUUUAAUGGAAUAUAACUAUUAUUUAAUAAUAACUUAAGUAAUUUUUUAAAGUUUGUAAAAAUAAAAUUAAUAUUAUAAAAAGGAUAAAUUAAUAAAUAAAAUACUUUAAAUGAAGUGUAAAAUUAGAAAGCGAAAAAGCCAACCCAAAUCAUAUACUUUCUUUAUAUAUAGUAUAGAUUUAAACAAAUUUAACCAUUGUCAAAUUUUAUUUAAAUGUAAGCAUUUCUUUAUGGAGUACAUCUUCAAGUUUCUAAUAUUUAUGUAGGGGAUUGAUCUCUCUUAACUAAAACCUUUUUUUUUUUUUUUGAGAUUAUUAUUCAGCUACAAUUUUUUAUGAGAUUAUCUCCAAAAAAAAAAUUAGUUUUUUAAUAAAUAAUAGAUACAUCUUGUCAUAAAAAUAGAUACAUAAUUUAAAUGUUAUAGAUGUUAGAAUUUACAACCACUAUGUCUAAAAUAUAUAAUAUUCAUCCUCACAUAAGGAACAUGAUAAAGUCAUAUUUAAUACAUGAAAAAAUGAGAGGGAACCAUGUAUUUGUAGUUGGUGUAAUUUUUUAUGAUUGAUAUGCAUGCCUUUAAAAAUCAUAUUUAAAACUUGAGAGUGAGAAAGAAUCGAUUGUGUAUGUAUGAUUCAUCUAAUAUUUAACACUAAUUUUUUUAAAAUUAUAAAUAUAUUAAUUUUGUUUUUAUCCUUUCUUUCACUAAAAUUCAUAACACUUAAAUAUUUAUUGAUCCCUGAUAUUUAAUUUAAACUAUAUUUGAUGUGUUUUACUUACCUAUAGACUGAAUUUCAUAUUACUUGAGUUUGUUUUCCCUAAAAAUGGGAGGAAUAAGACCAAACUUUUUUUUUGGUCAAGAAUAAGACAAAACCUUAUAUAUAUAUAUAUAUAUAUAUAUAUAUAUAUAUAUAUAUAAGAUUAAAUAGUUGUUUAAGAGGUGCCACCUAAGUGGUAAUAACUUGAUUUUAUAACCUCAAGCGGAGAUAUGAUUCAAAUCCCACUUAAGACAUUUUUUUUUUGAAGUGCACUUGAGACAGUUGUUAAAUAGUCAUUAAUCCCACCGUUGAAUAAUGAAUAAUAGUCCCUCCUUCUUUGUAUUUUAAAAAUAAUAAUGACUAGUUAACGUAAUAGACGAAUUGAAUAGUAUAACACUACUAUUAGAUGUUUUUUAGUAUUGAAAAGUUUAACCAUUCUCUUAUGAUACCGUGAAAUUAUAUUUCAAACAUCUUGAUAAUGAUCUAUAAUAUGAUAGCAUUAGUGUUUUUCAUGCUGAAAAUUUGUUUGAAGAAUUAAAAUCAUUAUACAUAUUGUAACAGUUAAAGCAAAAUCAAGCUUUAUAUAUGAUAUUGAGAUGUUUUAAGUUAUUUAAGUAAUUUUCUAAUACAUGCAUAAUUUAUAAAAUAAUAUUAACAAUCCCGAUUACCAUCACCAUCACACCUACUUGAUCAAAGACAUUUUCAAAUCGAAAUUAUAAAAAUUUGUUUUGCAAUAUACUAUGUAACAUUAAAUAUUAUAGUCUUGAUUUGAUUUCUAGUAAAAUUAUUUUUUAAAGAACAUUGAUUAUAUACAGAUUGUUAUUAGUUUGGUAAUAAAAAGUGCAUGGAGUAAACAAUUCUAACAAUAUGAUUGUUAGGACAUUGUUCUUUUAGUUUGUUCAUAACAUUAAAAGUCUCGAAGUGUUGAGGAGUUCGGGGAAGUCGGGUGUAACAACGAGUCAAUGUUUCAAGACGAUAAGAGAGGAUGAAACCACAUCUUCAUCCAAAACCUUAAGACGUUAUGUAUACGUGUCACAUAUCUUAUAUAGCCAAUAUUUUACCAUAUUCAUAGGUAAUGUGAGGCUUAACACUCGCACUUGAAAUCCAACAAUCUCCCCCUUAAAUGUUAGUUCUCACGUCCUAUAACCAGAUCGAACACAUGAUCCAGCUUCCAUUCUCUCACCAAAUCGAUCGAAAGCUUUGAUACCGCUGAUUGGGGUGUGGGAAAGUCGAGAGCAACAACGGACCAAUAAAAAAGAAAUAAAAAAAAAAAAGUAUAAAACUUACACAUGAGAUAAAAAAAUUAAAUUGUUUCCCUACUUUGCCAAUGAUUUCACACCGUGCACAAUUAAACUUGUUAAGAGUUUGUAUUUGAUGAAACAAAGUCUAAAAAUAAAUUUACAAGUGUGAGACAUGUUUACAUUCAUUCAAUUUUUAUGUUGCCAAGAAAGGCAACAACUUGAAUAUUUGAGGAAGCUACACUUGCUGGAUGAAAUAGGUCCUUAUAAUAUAAACAUCUGUAUCCUCAAAUUCAAAUUACUUGCAAAUCAUUCCUCAUUGUGAAUUUUGAAAUUUUUAUGCAUGAUUGUAUGGUAGACUACAAAUGUAAAAUUCUAAUACUCAAAUUUCUAUUAAAUUUAACAAAUCGUCUUGCUCUAUCCUCACAUUUAAAUUUUCCACUCAUUUGGAAUUUUCAAUUUUCUAUUAACAUAAUGAAACUUGGUAUAAAGUACUAAUUUACUUUCAUAAAUAUGACAAGCUCCGUUCUAGCCAACCAUACCAAACUGUAAAACUAACACAGAAGAAACUAACAUAAGACUCUUCCACUUGAAAAAUCAAGGUAGUUGAACUCCUUUAUUAUAUAUUCAAAUCUACCACUUCUCUUCUCCAAAAUAAUAUUGAACCAUUGCACUAUAAUAAUCAUCCCUUACCUUAAUUUAAUCAAAACAUAAACCUAGUACUCAUGAAACCACUCAAUUGUUUUCAAAUGACAUUAAUACUAGCAGCCCUUAUAAUCUCCUCAAUAAAUUUAGUUAAUGGUCAAAUUACUUCAUCAUGCACAUCCUCUAUGAUUAGCAGCACAUUCACUCCAUGUGCUAACAUCAUAACAGGAAGCACUAAUAAUGGUUUAGUACCAUCAACUACUUGUUGUGAUUCAUUAAGGUCUUUGAUGAGCACAAAUAUGGAUUGUGCUUGCCUUAUGAUGUCUUCCAAUGCUCAAAUUUUUCAACUACCUAUUAACCAAGUUCUUGCAAUAUCUCUUUCACAAGCAUGUAAUAUUAAUGGAGCUUCUGUUCAGUGCAAAGGUGCAAAUUCUAUUUAUUUUACAUUGCAUCUAAUUUUAAAUACUUGUACGUUUUGACAAACUUUAAUGUCCCACAUUCUUUUUCUAAUAAAAUAGUGAAUUUCUAAGUGUUUUUUUUUUUUUCCUAAGUGUUUUUUAUACAUAUGUUAAAGAUUUUCUAUGUAUAUAUUGUGUGACUUCUCAUUUAUCAUCUCUUAUUUUAGCCGCAUGAUGUUCUUGUUUAUUUUUGUUGAUCAUGAUAAAAAUCAAGUUGUACAAUUGGUUGUUGUGUUGGUCACCUUUUUAUUUUUUUCGUUUUUUAUUCAUGACAUAUAUAUGAGAAAGAGCUCACAAAUUACCAAAGGGAUUGUUAGUUACCCACACACAAGAUUUUUUAGCAUGUUCAGUACAUUUUUUAUGUCUAUUUUAAAUUGUUUAUUUAUUUCUAAAAAGUAAUUAAUUUAUGAGAAAUUGUGUUGAUUUGUUGAAACGGCAUGUUUUGGCAGGCCCAACAGGUAUUGGAUCAAACAGCCCAACUCUCCCUUCAAGUGCUCCAACUCCCUUAAGUCCUCAAGGUAGUUUAAAACAUUAAGAUUUUCUUCUCGCACACCCUACAAUAUUUCAGAUUUUAUAAUUCAAAUAGUGUAAAAACACGUUAAAACAUUCUACAACAUUUCAGAUUUCAUGAUCCGAAACAGGUGGAAGGGUGGGAAAAGAAACUCAAACAUUUAAUAUUGUGCUUAGAAUUUUUAAAAAUAUUGGGCUGAGUUUCAAGGUGCAAUACAAUUGGAGAAAAAGAGACAAAGCAAAUGAUUCUUUUCAGCUAAAAAUAUGAAGAAAAAUAUAGAUGAUUCAUGAUUGUUACCAAAAGCUGAUUGAUUUUUAGACUAUUUUAGUUUUUAUGGUAUUAAUUUACUCAUUGACUUGUUUCUUGUUAUAUAAAUGAUGCAAGGAAAUCCUUGAUAAGUUUUAAUGUUUUAGAGAUUAAUUGUGUUUGUUUUUUUACAAAAGGAGAGAUUAAUUGUUAUUAUGCACAUAGUAUAAAACUUUUGUAUAUAUAAAUCAAAUCACAAUAUAAUAUUACUAUGUUAUGUUAUUUUUCAAAACAUCCCUAUAAAUAUGCAUAGAAAAUAAAUCCCAAGUUUUAAAGUAUACACCAUGUAAUAUUUUUUUGAAAGAAAAAAAAAACAGUAUAACUUUUAAAAAGUUUCAAAGCUGAAAUGAAAUUGUUUUCUUAACUGACUACCUUUGACCUCCACUAGAUAUUCUCAAAUCACUUUCUUAUAGUAUAUAAAAUUAUAGUCUUUUUAUACUAAGUCAAAAAAUUUCAAAUAAUAAACUCUUGUAGAUUAAAAGUUAAUCUAACAUGCCUUUGGAACAGAUUCAAAAACUUUGGAUGUUAAUAACGCACACAUAUAUGAGAAUCUGCAAUUGGCAGAGGCAUUGGUACCAUCAUCAGCACCAAUGGAAGCUGCAGAAGCACCCACUGAAGCAUCAAGAAUUAUACCAGUUUUGACUUCUCUUCCUUCAGCGUCUCCUCCGUCUUAUUAUUCCUUCUCACCUUCUGCAUUAUUCAAAAUCAUAGCAAUUGUAAUGGUUUCUGGCAUCAUCCAUUAAACUGUUGAUGUGCAUCAGCAUUCAUAGAUGCUCAUAGGAAUUUAUGCCUGCAACUGGUUGCUUUUUGUAUUAGUUUUUGUAUGCCUUCCGAGUUCUGAUUAUACACUCAUACACUUUAAUAAUGGUUAUAUAUGGACCGGUUACAGUUCAGUGAAUUUUAUUAAUGUUUUAGCAUAAGCAUGAUCUUGGCAGAAGAUGAUAUAAUUAACUUUACAGGCUUGGUAAUUUAAUAAGCUCACGUUCAAAAGAUGUCAAAAACUUUGUAAAAUGCUAAAAACUAUGAAACAUUUUUUUCGCGGGAAAGUCACCAUGACUUUAGUGUAUUUUAUCAAAGAGAAAGGUGAAAGGGAAAUGAUACAUAAGAUAAGGAGAGUAAUAUAGGAGAAACUGGGAUAAACGCAUGGUGUCUUUUUCGCCUUAAAGAUAGGCAAUCUGGAUCUGUAAAUAGACGGCUAGGGAUCCAGACCUUAAGACCGAAAAACAUAUCUUUACCUCCUAUAUUACUCUCACAUUAAAUACACUAAAUUCAUGGUGACUUUUCCACCAAAGGUAGGCGAACCAUUUUCAUCUAUCUAUUUGUCCAAUGGAUCGAAUUCAAACAACCAAAUAUAAAAGCUUUUGUAACACUAAAAACUUUACAUAACAUUUCUUACAAACCAUAAUAACUGUCAUAAUUCGAUUUUGUCCACUUUAAUUUAAAUUUAAUUUUUGGGUUCAUGUCUAUAAUAACCCAUAUUUCCUUUGAUCCCAAUUUCAAAAGUAAAAGAAGAAGGAAAAGAAUGUCGCAUAACCUUUGCACCAAAUACUAUAAAAUGGAAGAGAACAACAAAACAUAGACUGCACUCACUUACUUUACAAUCUUAUCAUCUCAAUUUUCUCUUCCCAUUAGUCUUUUUUCCAUUUUUGUUCCAAACAUUACAGAUUCAUCAACCACUACUGCAUAUGGCAGCGGUGUAUUUUUGCAUGUGAGAGUGGUGGCUGUGAAACCUGUAACACCAAAUCCUUAACUCUCAGCCAUUAUCCUACCCUCGAUAAGAUUGUGAGCUGCAGAUAUUCAUACUCAACAGGCGUUAACAAAUCCAUAAACUCUGCAGCUGCAACAUUGAAACAUGGACAAGUUUUAACACACUAAGAAAGAAAAAAUUAUAAUUACAGAGAAACUGAGAAAAUGAAAGUGGACAAACCACAAACCUUCUUAGGGACUUCGAAGGUAACAGAAUGUCUCGACUCGAUCACCAUUGCGGCUAACAUCCCUCAUAGCAUUCCAUACCUACAAGUGAAAAGGUCCCAAAUCAAGGACAAGUAUAAGACUUGCAUGAUAUCUCAAAUCCAUUACUGUCAAGAAAUUUCUGAAAAACUUAUUCCAUUAACUUGUGCAAGCACAAUUCAAAAGUCAAGAAUUUAAAAAUGGAUUUCAUGGUCUGUAAAGUAGAGUUCGAAUUACGGAUAAUUAAUUGCAAAGUAGAAUUUGAAUUUUUCAGAAGCCAAACUCAAAGCAAAAUACAAAAUAUUGAUGGAAUUUAUGUUUUUGAUGAGGUGGAUUACCUUGUCUGGCACAGUUUGAUGUAUCAGUCGAAAUUCCCUCAAUUAGUCAGAGUUGAUAUCAGGGAAAGAAAACUACAUUCACAUGUAAACAUCAAUAGAAAUGGAAGUUGUAACCGUGUGAAUGUGGCAAUAACUCUUCUAUUUCAAUCCUGGAACUGGAGCAAGUAGAACCUUUCUUUAUUUGGUUACUGUUAAUAGACUCAACUUCUGCCAAGAAUAUGCUACAAACCGGUCUAUGAUCAGAGAAUCUUGACUCGCCGCGAACAUAAGAUAAUUGUUGUAGGCCACUUCCAUACCACAAGAUACGAUCACACCUUCAUGAAUAGAGAUUUUGACUAGAUUAGAACUAUAUAAAUAACAACAUUGUUUCAAAAUCCUUUCAAAAUAACAGCAUUUGCCACUUCGCCAAGAAAGAAGAGUACCAUGCUGGAGUUCUUCUCUUUUGUUUUGAGCGUCUAUCAUCACCUGCAUAACUAUCUGAAUUGUUUGAAUACUUAUAUGUAGGAGGAAAAUAUAUUUUCCCUUCACUCCAUCCGGUAAAGACACGGCCUUGCCGUUUCUCUAUACACAGCUGAAAGAAAAAACUAUCACAUGGUCAGGUACUAUAUGAGAAAGAAACAUCACAGUUACUUGGGGGGAAAACUAACAUGCCUGGUCAUUCUUUAACAAAGUCUUCCAAUCAUGCAUUUCAACAAGAGCUUUUGCUCCACGGUAAGAAAGUGCUAUCCGGUAAUUUAAAUCCCCCAGCCAAAUUAUUCGGCUACACCAAAUAAACCAUAAGUUUAGUUCUUGAAAAUUAGGAUUCAGUUGUGAUAUUCAUUAAGAUUCUCAAUUUCCUAGUAUCAGAUAUACAAUACUCCCCCACUGUCUUAAAUAUAAGCAAAAAGGUAUAUGUAUUUAGACUACAUGCACCUACAUUUUUACUUAUAUUUAAGACCGGAGACAACAUAGAUUAGGAGUAGAGAUAGAUCAAGGGCAUACUCAUGUUCCAGAAUUGUCUGAGGAGAAUUUGCAUCGGUUGUGUCAAGGAUAUGAGGAAACCUUGUCUUUCUGAGAAUCUCCAUUACAUCUGAAUUUCUCCUAAGCUCGUCACCAUCCCUUUGUCCGGAAGUCAAAUGACUACAGACGAAGCAAAAACUCGUUUGGCGCAAUGACAUACUAAUUGAUAUUGAACCCUGCAGAAAUCCAAGAAAAUGAGAUUGUCUCUUUCAAGCCUAGUACAUUAUAAACUCUACUGUUAAAAUAAAUUAGCAAAUGUACCUUGUUUCCAAGAUAUCCCAUCAAUCCUCUUCCAACACAAGACACUUUCAUGUUAUGAACGUCAUCUCUGAUAUCACUUUUCACCCAAACUGUUAGAAAUACCCCUACCAUUUGCUUACUAGCAACCAAACAGUAUCUCGAGUUUCCUCUCGGUCUGUCACUGUCGUCGGUAGGAAAACAAUCACUAUAAGAAAUUGGCGAAUAAUCUGUUGGGGAGUCACCAGCUCCAUUUUCAUCAUCCGAGGAACCCCAUCGACAAUUGGUGUCAUAGUCACUUUUCCUGUGACCAGAUAUCAUUCUAUCACAGACACUGAGACGACGACCAAGGCCAGUUUGUGGGAGUGACAUCUCAUUAUCCAUUCUCAUACUACGACUCAUGGCUUGGAAGGACUUCCGAUGGAAGAAAGAGGUUGCCUUCUGCCUCAUUGAUCCCUCGAAAUCAGCAUCUAACUCUACAAUAGGAGCAGGGAUUGGAGAAGGAGUGUUGUAUCCACCACUUGUUCCCGGAAGGUUGUUCAGUGUCUUCCUUAUAAGGGCUAGCCAUUUUUUUGCAGGACCAUUGUCUUCUGUUCCCAAAACAUUAACGGCGUUGAGAGGCACAAUUUCUUGAAACCUGAGUCCAAGAAAAUGCAAAAAUAUAAUGAUGAAUUCUAAACUUUUUUUCCUAACUAAAGAAUAUGAUGGCACUUUAUAUAAUCCCUAAAUUACCCAAGAACAUAGAUAUCAGCAUGUGGAGAAAUGUGAAGCCAAUCUUCCAGACUUAAAUAACUUGGAGGUGAUUUCCCGGCCACGUUCCAAGUGGCAACGAAUAUUCUGUAUUCAAAAGGAAAAAUAAAUAAAUCAAGAGAAUAAAAUUCUUAAAUUUCACUGCAAUGGCAACAAACAUGAUAAUUAAGUACAUGAAGCAUACCUAUAAUUACAUACAUCUGUAACCUGAGCUUCACCAAGGUAACUCUUACCUCUUUGCAUUCUAUCUAUGUACGUUCUGCUUGAUCUCUCUAUGUAUUCAGAAUUAAUUAUUUGAUAUUAGUAGGAGAAGGAGACCAAACAAAUAGGGAAAAAUUUUAAAAAAAAAAAGCAGAAUAUGAAAAAACAAUAGAUUUCUAAAAUUUCUGCAAAUAUGUUUGGUUCUGCGGUGAGAAAUAUAAAUUUUGAGUAAAUUGAUUAUGACUAAAAUUGAGUUGAAGGUAAAGUAAUUUGUGUUCGGACACAUUCAUGUAAAAGUGAGUUGACCAAUAAAUUUGAGUGUAAAAAUCAAUUCUAGAAUUAGAAGCUACAAUUUCUAGCUUCAAGUAGAAUCAAUUCUACUUUAUAGGAACCAAACAUGUUAAAAUCAAUUCUACAUCUCUAGAAUCAAUUUUGGCUCCUCCAAAAGUGGAACCAAACAAAAAUGAGGUCUAAAGUUCUUUGCCACUGUCAAGUUAGGGGUUUGGGAAUGUUAUAGUGUUAAGAAAAUUGAACCUGUUAUGCUUUUUUUGAUAGAACAUGCCUCCAUCUUUGAGUAAUUGCUCCCAUACUCUUCAUCAACAACUUAAAAAGGAAAAACCAAAAAUUUAAUCACUUUCCAAGGUUAAUAUACUAAAUUACUAUACUAUUCAAUCAAACACAACUACAAAAUAAACAAACUUAAUUUUGACACAAAAGGGUUGAAAGUUGAAACCACUGAAGCAGAAAAAAACAAAAGACAGAUCCCAAAAUAGAAAAUAAAAAUAUCUUAUUUUUUUGACAAUAUUUGAAAUCCAAUAACCUCAAAUAACAUAAAAAAUGAUGAGAGAAAACUGACCUUGACAAAUGACAUCAUCUGCUUGAAAGUCUUGAGAUUUGGUCUUGAUAUUGAACCAUUUUUUGACCAAUGUUUUUGGCCAUGAAAGCUUCAACAAAAAACAAGACAAGCUAAGUAAUUCCAAUUCCAUUAUACAACAAAACAUAAAGUGAAAUAGCUAGAGUUGGCAUUUGUCAAAACCUUGGUGGUUUUCUUCAAGUUUUCAUCUCUCAUUGUUGAGAAAACUUCAUAUAUGAAACUAUUAUUACUAAUAUCUUAGAAGCACAACACAACAAUGUUGAUGACAGCCCAGUUGGUUAUUGCACCUUUUCUUUCAGUUUGAAACUUUGAGGAUAUAGAGGGUGAAGUAAUGAAGAAGAGCACGUGAGAGAGAGAGAUUAUUGGAAAAAAACCUCGUUGUGAGUAAAAAAAAAAGACUAAAGAGUACAGCAAGAAUGCAAAGCAGCGAAUUUGAAAGGGGGAAUAAAGUGCAGGCAGGGAGGUGAGGUGAGGUAAGGUUCGCUCUCUAUCGAGGUCGAGGCCUUUAUCUGCAAUUUCUAAUACUUAAUAAUCCACCCGAGAGAGAGAGAGAGAGAGAGAGAGAGAGAGAGAGAGAGAGAGAGAGAGAGAGAGAGAGAGAGAGUACAAUAUACUAUGAGAUCGUACAAUGUUUACAUUGAUAGUGGGAAGCCACUCAUAUAUUCAUUCAUUUGCUCCUCAUAGUUCGAUUGGUGAGUCAAAGAACAUUGAAAGAGUUUGAAUGAGAAAUAUGAGGUUCAAGUUUGAUCUUCGGAGACUAACAUAAGUAUUAAGAUUAUUAGCAUUUGUGUAUAAAAAAUUCUAUAACAAUAUGAUGGUCUUGAUUUAAGUUGAGUAUAUUUAGAACCUUUGAAAAUUAGUAGGAUGUAGUACACAAACAAAAUUUAAUGUGUUUGAUUUGGGUAAAAAAUAUGUAUAUAAUAUGUUUAUGAAGUACAUGCAUCCAAUUUUCAUUUGUGUUAGGAAUAUUCUAUUUUCAAAACAUUUUCUAACACGCAUUCUAUUAUCUUAUUAUACAAAAAUAAUGUAGGUGUUACAUAUUUAAAAUAGAUCUCACAUAAAAUAGUAUGAGUCACAUUAAUUUUAUUGAAUAAAAAAAAAGUGUUGAAAAGAGAAUAUGCUUAGCACUUCUCACUACCCACAAUUCUUCAAAGGACAACAAAAAUUACAUAAAAUAUCUUUUACAUUUUUGUCACGACAUAUUUGGAUAACAAAAUAUUCCUGAUUUUAUGUUCUACCUUGUUGUUUUCUUAUGUGUUGUGAUCAAAAAAAGUUGUGAAGAGAGAAGUAGACAAGAGAGAUUGUGGGAAGAUGAAAAGAAGUGAAAAAAUAAAUUAGAUUUAAUAUAUUGUUUAGCAUAAGAGAAAUAAGAGAGAAGUAUAAGAGAAAGAUAUGUUAUUAUUUAUUUCAAAAAAAUAUAUAUAUAUCCUCGAGUUAAAGACAAAAAUAAGCAUCUCACAUUUUAAAAAACCAAUGACAUCUUUCCUCUUUCUUCUCACUUUAGAAGAGAAAAUAUGAAGGUAUGGCAUUCAUCACUUAUUCUUCUUUCUUAUCAAUUUCUCUUUUUUAAAGGGAUUUGGAUAUCAUCAUUUCUCUCCAUCUCUCUUGAUUUGAUUUCUAUUAUUUUUUCCUUCAUUUUAAACAUCAUUAUCUUAUGGGAAAUGUUAACAAGUGCUCUGAAAGGAAUUAUAACUAGUGUAAUAUGCUUUUUGAAAGUUGAAAAAAUGCUCUUUUCAAUACAAAUUUUGUCUUUUUUUCCUUCUACUUUUAGUUUCUUAACUAGUAUUCUGGGACACUGGUUAACAAGACCCUCAUUUUAUUUCUUUGAUGUUUGUCUAAAGUCACUAUACCUUUUCCUCUAAAAAGGUAGAUGAUUAUUAUCCAUCUUUUAGUUAUCUUUGUUGAGAAUUCAUUUUCUCAAAUUUAUUUCGUUCAUGUUCUAUAAUCUUAACCUUUAAAUCUUCUUUCAAAACUCUAUUUCCCUCCUAUUGAUGAAAGGUUAAGAGAAAUGUUACUUGAAUAAAAAAAAUUGUUCAACGUUGUCUAAAUGCAAUUUUGUUUUCUUAUUAUUAACUUUCUCUUUCAAUUAUUAUAAAUUAUGUAUUUUUUAUACCUAGUCCACUUUUAAAUGUCCAAAUAACAUUCCUCGUUGAUCAAGGGUUCAUGUAGGAUCCAAUCUAUUACGUGGUUACCCGGAAAUACAUUUCUUUGCUAUUAAAACUACAUGUAAGAGGAAAAAAAGUAGAAGGAAUUAGACAUGUUUCCGUUUUGUCGAUAAAAUAAAUAAAUAAUAUCAAGUUAGUUGAAGGUAUAGCCAUGCAUGAUUAUAUAAUCAAGCAUGAACAUUUAUCUAAUUUAUAAGAUUGCUUAUUUAAAUGUUCGUCCGGCCUAUGUUCUAAUGUAAAACAAAAAACCCUAGUGUUUUCUCCUAAUGCAAAGUGUCCUAGGAAUCAUUCGCAAGACAAUUAAGUUCCAAGACCAUAAAACUUUUUCAUUUUGGGUUUCUUUGUAAUUCUUAAGUAGUUGAUAAUGCACAAAGUUGGUUGAGAAUCAUGUGUCUAAAUCUUAACAGGUGAAAGGUCACACCAAUCCACAUUGUCUUCCUUUUGUUUAUGUUCCUCUCAUAAUUGUGCCAGUGAUGCUUACUACAAAGGGUAGUAUCAAAAUUAAAUAUCAAUGGGACCCUAUUCAUGCAAUACAUAACUAAAAGGGGUAGUAGUGUUUACCCUACAAUUUGAAUCUUCUAAUUGCAUAGUGAAAGGUGGCUUGCCCUGAAACUACAUUGUCAAGAAGAUUAGGAUCUAUUAUCCACAACAGGAUACCCUAUAAUUGGAUUCAAUAAUGAAGCAUACGGAGAUCAAUGAUCAAGGCUUUUCCAAUUAAAUGAUUAUGGUAUAGACCGUUACUAGAAAACAUAUUUACACAUCACACAAAAAUGUUUAAUUGAUAUGAUUUUUAGCUCUUUCAUUUUAAUAGUCUUAUCCUCCUCGAAGAUUUAUUCUCUAUAGAAUAAAUCUUAUCUCCACAAUUUUAUUUCUUUAUGGUUGAGGAUGAUAGCUUUGGUUGAGGUGUUUAUAUUCUAUCUUUUGUUCGAUGUUGGACUUUUAAACAGGCCCCCUCAUGACCAACACAAUUGUGUUUAGUUUGUGGACAUAAAUGAUGGAUGAUUCGAUAGCGAAAAUAUGAUAGCAGAUGACUCAAUUGAUCUUAACAGAGGAUUUGAUACAAUCUUAAAAAUCGUAGUUGGGACUGACACAACUCCAUAAAACCGACUUAUAAGAUGAUGAUUGCGCUCACUUAGAAAUGGUUGAUAGUUAUAGAUCAACGAGGCAGUCAAACAAUGCAUCUUUAAUUCUACUUUGACUAAAGUAAUUUCUUCAUCUCUAGGGUUGAAUGUGGGUCUUUUACCAUUUCUUUUGCUUUUCCAACCUUGAUAUUGAUACAUACCACAGUCCCUUUUCUCCUACACUCUUUAAUAAUCGUUUGAUCCCAAGGUGUCAAAUUGGGAUUCUUCUCUCUAUUUUUUCAUCCCCACUCUUUUGUAUUUAGAAUGUCCUUUUUCUUGCCUGUCAUUUUCUUAACAAUCUGGCAAAAGAGAGAGAUUUACUGGUCCUGUUGUACAUUUGUACUUGGUAAUGCAGGCUGUGAAAAUGAUGCAAACGUUGGCUUUUAAUUUCUCAACUACAUUUUCAUAUACAAUUUAUAUUUCCUGAUAAUAUUGUUGCCUCCACUCAUUUUUGUUGUUGACGGAUACGUUAUACCUCAGCUCAUUUCUUAAAAUUUGUACCCUUCUUCGGACUUUAUCGAUUCGGAGAAAGAAAAAAAAUUGUUUUCCGUCUAAGGAUGUUUAGACCGGAACAGUUUUAAAAGUUAUGAGACGAGAAAUUCUUUAAAUAUAUGUCUAACAUAAUUUCACACUUAUAGUUUUUGUCAAUUUUAGCUCACAUUUAGACAAUCUUUCACAAGAUAUAUUUACUAGUUAUUUUUUAUGGAUUUUUCUACAACUUUUUCUCUAUCAUACUCCCUCCAUUUUUAAAUAUGGGAAAGGUUAAUCGGUGCCCCCGGGACACCGGUUAAGGAUAAUAAAAAGGAAAAUUAUAUGUUAAUUAUUGCAUUGAAAAUUGUUUAAUUAAUCUAUAAAUAAGUCAACAAAACUUCCUUUUAUGGUAAGAAUUUCCUUUUUUUGUAUGCUUAACCAGUGCCCCGGAGGCACCGGUUAGCAUGACCCUUUAAAUAUAAGCAAAAAUCACUUUUUAGGUUCAUUCAUUUAAUAAUGUAUGUGAUUCAUUCUAUUUAAAAACGAAUGAACCUAAAAAGUGAUUUUUGCUUAUAUUUAAAAAUGGAGGUAGUAUUAAUCAUUCUAUUUUUUUAAAAUUUUUUUAUAACCAUGUGCUACAAAAAUAAUGACUACAUCUUUUUUGGGUGGUGAAAUAAUGACUGCAUUUAGUAAUAAGUGCAUGGAAACUUAUUUUUAGGAAGAAAAUUUAUUUUGAUAUAGAAGCUAGACAAAAUUUAACUCCAAAAAUUUAACUCGACAAUUAUGAAAGCAACAAAUUUAACUAUAUACUCCAAAAACAAUGAUCGAAUGAAGAUCCCCUAUAUAUAUCUAAUAUGGUGUCAAUGAUGGAGCCAGAAAUUUUAUAAAAUCUAGGCAAAAAUUUUAUCGCAAAACGUUAUUUCCUUCCUGCAGAUAAUUUCACAUUUCCUGCACAUAUAUCUUUCCUGCGGAUCCUAAAAUCCUAUGAUAUUGCCUCACCUGGGAACCUAAAUCCUUGGCAAAAUAUGCAGGAAAUGUGUUUCCUUCAGAAUUUACACAAAAAUCCGCAGGUAAAACUGCAGGAAAAAUUAAAGUUAUCAUAUUGGUUGGACUUGCUAUAAGAAAGUUUGAGCUGAGCCUGAGUUAGUGCCCAUGCUAGCUGGGGUGGCUCCGCCCCUGCAUGGUAUGAUGUAAUUGUUGUUUCCCAAUGUCUUCAAUGACAAGAUCAACCUAAAACAUUAGAUAAAAAAAUUAACUUAGAAUUAAAUAUUAGAUAAAAACGUAAUAUAUGCUUGUGUGACUCAAUGAAAUUCUAAGGAAUUAGUGGAGAACAUGUGAGAAAUUACGUGUCAAAAAUUGAAAGAAAGUAAUUAUAUAGGGGACUUCUAUGGUACACCCGUAAAUUACGGUGUACCGGUAUUCUUGCUUACAAUUUUUAUAAAUUAACUAUCAUUUUUUAUGAAGAAAAUAAGUGUUUGUUGACAUAUAUAUUUUAGAAAACAUCAUUUUAUAUGAAAAAAACAUCAUUUCAUUUUUUAUAAAAAUCAUACUAAUUUUUUCACAUUUUAUUGUAAAAAAUACUCAAAAUUCUCUAUUAUGAGUAAUAAGAAUUCAGAAAAAUCAAAUUUUAUUGCGUUGAUGUUUUUGGUAAAUAAGAUUUAGUUAUUAUAAUUAUAGGUGAUAGAAAAUAAUUUUUUCCUACAAAAAAUAACUCAUUUAACUAUUAAUUUAAAAAUUUGGUGUACCAAUACACUCAAAUUAUUGGGUCUACCAUAGAACUUGCCAAUUAUAUACCAUACUGUGGUAUAGCUGCCACAUGAGAACAAAUGGGUGAGUUUAAAAAAUUUAACGCAAAAGAAAAAAAAUAAAGAGAAAUGCUCAACUACACAUUGAGUUUUAUUUAGAAGAUGAUUAUUUAAUUUUUCAUAAAAUACAAUAAAUAUAAUGGUUAAUAGGGGAGAGAGAUGGAGGGAUAAUACAAUUACUUAUCAUUUUUCAAGAAAAUAAUAAUUAAUAUGAUAGUCUUUGUUGAAAAAAGUGGUACAUUUAUUGCACCUUAUCCUAUGCAAUAUUGUAUAGGUUAAAAAAAACUCAUUUUUUAUUUAUUUUUAAAUUGUGCAAGAGCAUCAAGGAAGUUUAUGUAGGUAUCACCAUAGGAAAAAGCUAAAGUGCACGACAAAAAAUUCGUCACUAUUGCACGAAUGAGUUAUAUGUUGUUGUUUCAGUUCUCUUUCAAUUAUGAUUUUAGUCCAAAUGAUCUGCACAGUCUAGCAUAUGUUUAUUUAUGAGAAAACACACUUUACUCCACAUCACUGUAGCUUUGUAAGAUAUUGAUCUUCAUUGAUUGUCAAACUGUGAAACAUGUGUUGCAGCUCACAGGCAUAGAUAUAUAUUACCGUUUGUCUCAUUUGGAUGUUUUAUAAUAUAACUAGGAUUAUGUUUUAUUAUAAAAUAUUAUAAUGUAGCAACCAUUAAAAGAGAAAUCCAGUUGUAGUUGAACGUAUCGUGCAAAUUCGUGUGCCGAGAGCCGUCGUACCGUAUAGCAAGUCUCAUCACCAUAUUACUGCCCCCUCAUAAUUUCCUUUUUCUUGGUCAACAAUUUGAACUUUUUUUUUUAAAAUUAAAAUAUUGGACUUAUUAUUGUUCAAUCAUGGAUGCCAUUACUUUAACAACAUUGAAAAGGAAAAAAAAAUUAUCAAGGAUUCCGAAUAAUGCAAAGCAGGCUACAUAGUAUGUUCAUUUACGUAUGACUUGAAAUAUUUGAUGAGCAGACCAUAUUAUUUUUACUAUUAUUAUACUCUCUCUUUGUUAUGACUAUUUUUUUUAAAGGUUAAUAAUGAUUUACCUCCUGUAAUAUAGGUCAUUUUCGGUUUUACCCUUGUAAAUUUUUUUUUUUUUGAUUUCGUCCUUGUAAUUUGAAGAUUUUUGGUUUUGGACCUUCAUGAAUGUUAAUUGUACAAAAUCGAAGAUAUGGCAGGAGGUAAACCAAAAUUUGCUAAAAUUAAAGGGGGAAAAACCGAAAUAUGCUCAAAUUUCAAGGGGGUAAACCUAAAUUUGCUCAAAUUACAGGGAGCGAAAUUGUCCAUGAAAGUCCAAAACCAAAAAACCUUAAAUUACAAGGAUAAAAUUCAAAAAAAAUAUUUUACAUGAGUGAAAACCGGAAAUAACUUAAAUUACAGGGGAUAAAGCACUAUUAAACUUUUUUUUAAUGGCCUCUAGCAAUUAAAUGGAAAAGCAGAUCAUAGCAGAGAACGAAACCAACCCCGGCAGAUGGGUUAAUUUUGUUUUUGGAUAUUGAUUCCAAAGUCGUGGUUAGUGUUUGAGGAGAGAAAACAUCAAACAUGAAUUGAUGAGGCUACCUAAAGGGAAAAAUGAGCAUUUUAGUACUUGAAAUUAUAACAAUCGAAUAAUUUAAUUAGUCUCUAAAUUUACGAAAUAACAAAAUAGUCUCUUAAAUAAAUGAAAAAAAAAUUGUUACUCCUCAAUUUAGUUCAUAUAAAAAAAUUAGUUCAUAUAAAAAUAAAAAUUAAAUUGACCUACGUUUAACUUGAAGGACUUAAUACAUACUAUUUCAUGAAUUUUAAAGAUUAAAUUGAUUGACCUGACCUGACCUUUACAAUUUCAAGUACUUAAAUACUGAUUUACUCAUGCUUGAAGCAUGAACAAGAUCAUAUGCUUUGCCAAAAUCACAAUAAGGACAAAAAUGAAGCAUUGAAACUGCUGCAUUUUUAAGUUACAUAAAUGAUUUGCAAUUUGUGGAAAAACAAAAUCCCAGAAGAUGAGAAAAACAAAGUCAGAUUGAUUUACAAGGCUAGUGUUGAUGUGAAGUAUUUUACUAUGGAGUGGAAAAAUGACAUGGUUUUUCACCCCAAACAACUUUUGUUACAGUUUAGUCCCUUUCCUCAUUUUCAUUGAACUAUGCCAAAGUUAAUAUUUUCACUGUUUGUCAUGCCUUGUCUAUAUCAUUUUCUAAGCUUUUUUUAUUUAUAGUUUUAUUUAAUUCCAUCGUUUUUCUACCUACUACUACACACCCAAACAUGCAACCCAUUCUUUGCAUAUCGGAUGAUCACUGCUAGUUGAAGGUACAAUUAAGCAACUGUGUCUGUGUAUACCACUUGAUUGUUUUCUCCUAUUAAAAAAAUGUCACGAACUACAUGCUGUAGCCUUAUAGAAGUUAUAAUGAUACAUUGCAGAGGAGACACACCUAGGGAGGCUAGGAAAAUGACUGGUACAUGGUUAAUAGUUCAUAAUUGGCUUGAUUUGGAAAUUGUUACUUGAGGUAAAAGUAUUUCACCCACCAAAAGUUACUAUAAAAGAGUUUUCUACUUUUCUUUUUUAGUUUUUGAUUCAUCCUGGCAAUCAGUAGAUAAAAGAAUGCACAUUAUAUUUGAAUGCAAAAUAAUGAUCUUUAGGCUAUAAUUUAUAUCCAUGAUGUUCUUGAGCUAGUUCAUAUUUCACUUGUUCAACAUUGUUUAAAAAAAAAAUCUUAGUAAUAUUAAAUGUGUUUUCAACUACAAUUGUUAGCACGUAACAAUUUGGUUAUAUUUGAUCCUGUCAUUAAUUUAUACGAAGACAAGGAUCGAUAUCAAUCACAAAAAUACCAUGGUCCAUUAGAUCAUAUAUUUUUAGCAAAGUUUCAAAUUGUUGCAGUUGCAAUUACAUUGUAAUCCUUAUAUUGUACAAAAUUACAAACAAAUGCAAUUGAAACAGUUAAGAUGCAACUGCAAAGACCUCUAAAACCUUCAUAUAACAACUACAAUUAUGGUGUUGCGCACAAUCUAAAACUAAAGUCAUUAAUCUCUUCACUCCACACAGAUGACAAAGGAGAUUGCUCUUUAGGCCCUGCAAGUUGCUCAACCCUAAAAAAAGCCGGUUGGAAGAUAGUUUCCGAUAGCUUUGAGUAAACAAAAAGCCAAUCAGAAGAUAAGAUCCGAUAAGUUUGUACCAUCAAAAUUUAUGCUCAGAUAAAUGAAAAGGCUUGAGCAAAAAUGAGAGGCCUAUAAAGCAAACUCCGAUGACAAAAUGUAAGCUCUAAGAGUGUACUAGUGCAUGUACAUGAUUAAAGCUUACACACAAAAAAUCCAACCACACCAGUCUGUCGUCCUUCUAUUGCACCAUAAGUUGUGAGAAGUCUAAAAAUAAGUGUAUAUUUUGAAACGAAAAAUUAAAAUAGCAGUAGUAAGUAAUUAAUGGCAAUUUUUUUCCAAAAUUGAUUCAAAAUAAAAUGAAAACACAAACAUCUUUUCCUUCUAGUUCAAUGUAAUGUGCACAAACUGAGAUUCUCAGGUCACUAGCUCCAAGGGUAAAUGAUGUUAUAAGUUACAGUAACCAAUCAAGCAUUUGGAAUAUCUUACUAAUUAGCCACAAAAAUUUAUCAACACUCAUUCAGACACGCUAUCACUGUGAGCUUUAAGUGAAUCAAACCAAAAAAAGUAUACCCGUUCUCUUUCAAUAUAUUGAUGUGCGUGAUGUUGAAAAGGAAAUGUUGCCACCAUUUUAUUAGUGCAGCUAGGCCAUAUUAAUCUUCACAUCUCAGCACAAAGUGGCAACAUGGCCCGUUGCAGGCAUUUUUGACAUAUAAAUUAGACUGGUUUUACACAUUUGCCUCCUUUCUGAAUUCAGGGCAAUCACUGUGUGGAAAGAAUAGCAGAUUGAUUGCUGUAUAGUGUGUUGUAUAUCCCUCUAACGGUAACAGGAGUCGUUCUACAGCAUCCACCUACAAGGCAAGCCCCUAGCUCACACCAUUUACUAACAUAUGAGACAAAAUCUUUAUCUGUAACACCUGUAUUUUGCUGCAACGAGAACAACCUAAUAUCAGUAUCACGUGAUUCAAGAAAUAUUUCAAGUUAUUACCGUCUUAAAUGAUCAAAUCUCUAAUAAAUUAUCUUCAUUCGAUAUUCGGUCUCUCAAAGAUCAGCACAUGCUAUAUGAAGUACCUAUCAACUGUAAUAAAGCAAAAGGUCCAUAUAUACUUGUAAAUCACAAUAAAGUAGACAAACAACUUACGGUUAGGUCACGGUCACGCACAGAGGAUAUAAGGAGUAAAGUGAUAAAGAGGUUGAAGGUUUGAUCACAAACUCCAAUAUAAUAACAGUAACACUAACAUUUGUCGUUCAAAAAUAAAGAAAUGUCACACACAAACUUUCACUUUGUUGCAUUCAUGUCCCCGUAGGUUCGAUCAUUGUCUCAUGUUUUCAAUGUUAUAUGCACUCCCUAUCCCUAACAUUGUGUUCCGGAAAAUAUAGAAUUAUGUUGGCUAAACAUGAUUAAGUAAUAACUAAUCUACUUGAAUUAUGAGCAAAAUGGUAUAAAAUCACAUCUCAGAAGCUAUGAAGCACAUACACUCCUCGGAUUAGGCGUGUCCCGAUGUCGAAUACUUAUCGAGUCCAACACCCACAUGAGACCGACACAUAUGAUUACAUUGAAUUAUGUCAUUUUCUCAAAUUAUUAUCGGUGUCAACAUGUCCAUGUCCGUAUCUAAUCUGUGCUUCAUAGCUCACAAGUAUAAGAAGUAUUAUGAGAAAGUGGGCCCAAACAGGCAAUUAACUAAUCGCUUGGUCAAGCCCAUUAUGUGGGGAGUGAUCAAUACGGUUAUAAGUGGUUUUGUGUGUGUUUGGGGGGGUAUUUUCGAUCAUCUUGUUCAAUCAGAAGAACCUUAGCUUAGGGUUGGACAGAGGAAGAAUGAUUUCUAAAUAUUUCUUGGGAUUACAGGGGAUUUUCUAUAAUAUUUCUUGCUUUUUCCAUUAAUAAUACAAUUUCUGCAUUUCAUGUAGUUCUGGUUCCUAACUUAACAGAUUCCAACCUGAAUAUUUCCAGUAUGAAUCCACAUUCAAAGCUCUACAAAACUAGCAGCGAGCCGAAUAAGGUAAAAUGAGAAAACAAUCAGUUUCAGCCCAAAUUUUAAAAAGUAUACACAAAGCAAUAACAGAAAGGCAGAUCCUGCUCUUGGCGUCAACUUUUUAAUCUUCCUUACAUGUACUUGUAUAUGCAAUGUAUAUUGAAAUUUGAAAGGAUGUGAAAUCUGUCAUUCUAAAUUUCUAAUAACUACUGGUACUACACUACCACAUCCAUCUUCUAAGUACAAUUCUGUUUCAACCGACAAAUUACACAGAACAGUCUCUGAAUCAGAUUUACUAUUUAAAUAAAAAUGAAUAGAAUGAAUUCACUGCAAAGAAAAGGGAUGAGCUAGUGGCACAACAACAACAACAAUAACAACCAAGCCUUGUCCCACCAAGUGGGGUCAGCUAGAUGGAUCAAAUUACGCCAUAAUAUUCUAUCAUAACCCAUAUUUCGGUCCAACUCAUUAAUCUCUAAAUCUUUUUUAAUAGUUUCUCUUAUACUUUUUCUAGGUCUUCAUCUGCCUCUAAUGAUCUGACUAUCCUCCAUCUGAUCUAUCUCCUUACUACAAAAUCUACUGGUCUUCUGUCUACAUGUCCAAACCACCUAAGCCUAUUUUCCACCAUCUUUUCACUAGCGUUGCUAACCCAACUCUCGCUAAUAUUGUCAUUUCUAAUUUAUAAUCCUAUCCCAUCUAAUCUUACCACACAUCCAACAAAAGAUCCUCAUCUCCGCUACGCUUGUUUUAUUCUAGUGUUGGUUCUUUACUAUCCAACACUCUAUUACACGGGUUAAAAAAUUCCUUAAGUUUGACUCUUCUUUAAUUUAACAGCAUACGGUUUUCUAUAUUUCAGGCAGAAUAACUCCCACAACCAAAUUUUCCAAUGCAUACUGGUUCAAGUUUUAUAUAACUGAGAUCGGACAGCUUCUAUCUUCGAAAAUUGAUCUUUGUUCAAUUUCAAAAACAAACUUGACCACCAAUCAUUUAAAAACAAUAUAAAAUGCAGCAGUACAACCAGAUGAAAUGAACUUACCAUCCACUCUUUUCGUUCACCGUCAUAAGUUUCCCCGCUGUUUGGAUAUAUAGCAAUUGGUUUUGUAGUCACCUGAACAAAUUAUAUGUGAAUCAGGGAUGUUUGUUCCACACAGAUAAAAUGCCUAUAGUAAUUUAUCAACACUGACAUAUUUUCUUAAAUGAAAAUAAUGAAAAUAGCAAAUAAAACAAGUAAAAAAUCCUUGUCAAUAUUUUAAAAGGCAUGGUUUCAUAGAACAUGAAGGCCGAAUGAGUGUAUAUCUUAAGUACUAUAGUCAAAGAACCCUAUGUUUACAUAAGCCAUCUUAAUUAACAAAAAAUAUUAGACUCCUAAAAAUAUUAAUAUAUUAUUCAAUGAACCUAUAGCUCUAUAUGCAGAUUAAAAUCCAUAAUUUUUUUAUCCAUUCAAAUAAUAUAUGAUUUUCCAAGAGGAUGCAGCUUGGCAAAACAGACAACGACCUCAGGUAGAAGUGAAAGUGCAUUAAUUAAUAAAAUUCGAAAAGAGUAAGAGGUUGUUUGAAACAAAAUAUUUUGAUACAUGAAGAAAAAAGAAAAUCAACAAUCAACCCGCACAUUCAGUCAGAAAAGAGAAACCUAAGGUUCUACCUUCUUAAGCAAAAGUAUAAGACCAUGUAUAAAUCUAGGUGGGGUACAGUUGAUUCCGACAGCAAUGACUUUGUUACAUGAUUCAGCAAUGGAGCCACAUUCCACUAUAGAAUCACCACUAACAACAUUAAUUCCAUCCUUAGAGUUAAAACAAAACCAUGCUGGAACCUUUAUGUUCUCUUCUUCCAGAAGUUCUGCAAAAGCCUGUUUAGUCAAGACCAGAAUGAAAUUGUAAGUGGAGACUUCAAUUUUUUGAAUGUACGGAUAGAUUAAGCAAAAACUUUAUUAAGAGAUACACAAAUUGUGGGUAGAUUUAGCAAAAACAUUCGUAAGAGAUAGACAAAUUGAGGGUAGAUUUAGCAAAAAGAUUCUUAAAAGAUAGACAAAAUGUGGGUAAAUAUUCAAAAACAUUCUUCUGAAAGAACAAAUAAAAAUAUGAUAGAGGGUAGAUUUAGCAUUUGACUGUACAAAGCUUCUAGAAUACCUGAGCUUCAAUCUUAUUUGGAAUUGUUUCAAAUGCAAGCAGGUCGGCACUUGCAUCUGCCAAAACUUGAACUCUUCUCCGAUGAAAAUCUUUGAGAGUUUUCAACGUGAUAGCAUCACCAUAAUUCCCACUGCCAGGAACAUGUCAAGAAGCAUAGCAAUCGUGAAAAAUGUGAUUUUUAUAAGUUCUAACAAUAGCAGCAACAGUUGAUCAAACCUCAAGCUUUCUAAAACAUUAAUGAUUCUAUUUUAUGAAGAAAUAGUUCCAAAACAUACACACAAUCACAUGCAAGAUGAACACAUUAUUUCAGACAACCUUAUGAUAGUGCUUCUUUUACAAAUGAACAAAAUUUGUUCCAGAAUAACUGAUAGCCUAGAGGCUAAACACAGCCUUGGAAAAGAAACAUAUUAUAAUAUCAUUUUGAUUGUUAAUCAAUAAAUGGACUACAUAAUAGAUAAGAUAACAAAUAAAACCAAUCGCACAAACUAAAAGAAAAAACAAACAGAUUCGGCUAAAUACCAGAGAUCUUAGAAAAUUUCACCUGUACUCUGAUCCAUCAGCCAAAUAAGCUCCAUAACUCCCAACUGACGCUGCAAUCAAGAUAGGACGUUGCUUGAGGAUUCUAUCAUCAGCAUUCUUACCCGAAGAACACGCAGCACAUCGUUCAUAAUACAAAUCGCGAGCCUCGCAAGCAAUUUCAACACUUCUUCUGAGCAUGUUUUCACUUUCUUCAUUAGAAAAUCCUUUUUCCUUAAAACCUUGAAUGGUGGCCUAUGCACAUCACAGAACACUACCUCAGCCUCGGCUUUUAUUAGUAACACAAAAAACACAGAACUAAAGACACAACACACUCUAGGCUUUGUUUGCGAGUUUGGAGGGGAAGGCUUUGGAAAAAAAGGAAGGAGCACGUGGAAGAAAUGGAGGACAUUGGGAGGGGAGGACUUUAGGAGGUUCAUUUUUCUUCAUAAUACAAAAUCCUCCUCAUUUGGGGGAGCUCAAAAUUUGUAUUGGAGGAGGGUAUUGGAAGGUCUAUAUGAAUUCUUCAAAUUUAAUCUAUGUUGUUAUAAUAUUUUUGAAAUUAAAAAUGUAUUAAUCAUAAGCAUUAAUUUAUCAUUCUCUAAAAAAAUACUCUAUCAAAAAAUGUGAAAGAUUACUCUCUUUUCCCCUAUAUUUGCCACCCCCUCCAAACUCCCAAACAAAGCCUAAAUAAACAGAACUCACUUGAUAAGAAGCUGUGGUUAUAAUGUCUGCACCAUUUUCCAAGUAAUCAAGGUGCACCUGCGCAACAGAAAGCAUGAUCAGUGAUAAUUUUGAUUAGUAACAGAGUAUCGUUCAAUCAAGUCCAAACAAGGUUUAAAUAUAUGUUUUUUGGAUUUAGACUCAGUACGUUUUUCUGUUUAAAUUCAGUCCCUGCAAAUUCAAAAAACGGUUGCUUUUAGGGCCUGUUUGGAAUGACUUAUUUGAGCUUAUCUAUUGGAAUAAAUUCUGUGAGACUGAGUGAGAGAAUUUAUGACAAUUUUCAUAAGCUUUUUUCAACUUAUUUUCAUAAGUUCGUCAAUAUAGCUAAUAAAAACAACUUAUAGCAUAUACAAAAUCAAUGUAACGUUACUUUAUCUUAUACUAUAAAAAUAGCUUAUCCAACCUUAUACAUAAACUCUUAUCAUGACAAGUGAUUGUGCUAUAAGACGCAAAUAAGCUGUUUAUCCAAACAGAGUCCCUGACACGUCAGCUUAUGUGGCAUAAGUUUAUUGGGUCACGAAUGACAUAUGGACUAAAAGCAAUUGAAUUUGUAAGGACCGAAUCUAAACAAAAAAACAAAAAAGAAAACUCAAUGGACUAAAUCCAAAAAAAAAAAAAACGUUAUAAUUACAUGGACUAAAAUCAUAUUUAAACAUUUAAGCAAUUAACAAUUUCCAUAACAGUUCAUAAAUAAAUGAUACAUAUAAAAAAGGAAUAAAAUUAGGUUAAUUAAAACCCUAAGAUCACUAUUUGUAUACAACUACAGGGGAAAACGAAAAUGAAUUUACAGCAUCGUAAUGAGAUGACAUGGUUGUAUACAUGUACAAUGGAACUUAUAUGAAUCAACCUACUUAAGAGUUGAAAUGGUGAGUGCGAAGGAGGAAGAGUGAGUACCUGACGAAUGAGGUGAGACUGAGGGAUCGAAAUGAGGCAUUUGGCGCUCCAAAGGGGAUCAUUGAGGUCGGCGCCAUGGCGUUCAAGCUCAGUCGCUAAACCACCGUCGAUGAUGGCGGUUCCGCCGGCUCGAUGGAGGAAAUCCGAUAUCAGUGACGACGACAUUUUCACGCCGACAAAGGAGGGGAGAGGAAGACAAAGGAAAAAAGUGGGUUUAUAAUAUAUGAUGAAUAAAUAAAUUAAUUUAAUUGGCUGUUACUAUUGUAAGCAAAAAUCACAUAUUUUAGAUUCAUUCUUAAUGAUUUUUUUUUAAAAAAAAAUUCAUGUAAGUGGUCUAUAAUAAAGAUAGUAUAUAUAUGUUGUUACAUUAAUUAAAUGAAUCAAAACCGUAUGCAUCAUUAUAAUAGUGAUCGGAGGAUAUAUGUUGUUACAUUAAUUAAUUAACAAGACAGUGAUCGUGAGCUUAGUUCAGUUAGUAUGAACAAUGCAUGAGAUAUGUAAGGUUCGGGGUUCGAACUCCAGCCACCACACAAAAAAAAUUAAUUAACGAGACAAUUAUGUGUUUUAAUAUGAAUGAACAUAUCACAUGACAUGAUAUUUUUAGGCAUGGCAAGAAAACCCAUAUCCGCGGUUACCCGCCCGAACCAAACCCAAUUUGAUGGAUUUUCCCCGUUUUGACUGGGUUUGGAUAUGGGUAUGGGUUUUCCCCAAUUUCAAAACACGAGUAUGGGACGGGUAAUGAGUAUAUAAGUACCCACCCCGAACCCAUAACCAAACCCGUCUCAAAUGUAAAAAAAUUAUUUUAUAUUGAUAUGUCAUGUUAUUUUGUUUGAUAAUUGUCAUGUUAAUAAAAACUAUCAUUGAUAUUUAAAGGAUCAACUAAAUCAUUCCGUCUAACAAAUGUUAAAGUGAGCGUAUUGUUGGAUAAUGUAUUACAACGUUACUCUUGGGGAUGCAAAAACUUCUAUUUUUUAUUAAAAAAAAUAUUAAUACAUGGAAGGGGAAUGGGUGGGGAUACCCGAACCCGUCGGGGACGGGGAUGAGAUUCAAUUUCUCAUCCCCGUUGGUUAUGGGUAGGGUAACGGGUAAGUAUAUGAGAACCGGAUAUGGGUACGAGGAAGGUAAAACUCGUCCCCACCCCGCCCCAUUGCCAUGCCUAGGUAUUUUAUUUCUAUCCAUUAAUUUGUUUAAAGAGUAAAUGUUAUGCUAACAAAUGUCUUUAGGGCACUAGUUAAAGAUUCAAAGAAGGAAACAAUUGUUAAAUUUUAUGUAGAAAAUGUUACUUUUUGAUAUUUCAAUAAGUCAAAUACACAAUUUUUAAUAUAAAUUUUUGACUUUUAGUUUGUAAACAAAUGCUCCAAAUACUCUUCUUAGCAUUUGUCAAAGAUUAAUUACUUUCAAAGGACAAUGAAAAUCUACCUAAACAUAAUAACCAAAAAGUUAGAAAUCGCCUCAUAACAAAGCAGAAUAUAGAAUUAAUUUUUUUAUUUUAUAUUUGAAAUAAUUAAGAGAAUAAAAGGUAAAUUUAAUCCCAAAAAAAGUAAAAUUAAUGUUUUGUGUGUGCGUUUAAGGAAUUUAUAUUUGAUUAUGUGACUAUGCAAAAAUAAUCUUGUUGGAUUAACAACAACCUUAUGUUUUUUUUUUUUUUUUUUUUUUUUUUUUUAUAAAAAAAAUCUUGUUAUUUUUAUUACUAGUUUGAGUUAAGGGAUAAGAAGAUAAAAAGUUGGAGGUUAUGAAUUCUGAUUCGAACAAAUGAAUAAAAUAUUUAUCUAACAACUAGCAUUAAGGUUCAAUCAAUCAAUUGAUAAGAGAUCUUGUCCUCUCUUCCGGUCUACUUUCUUUCCUUCUUCAAAGCUCCCGCAGGUAUCAUUUCCUCUAUUGAAUCUAUUUUUAAUUGUUUUUUCUGGGGGGGAUGUGAGGAGGUUAGGAAAAUUUCUUGGAUUAACUGGGACACUAUUUGUUCCAAAAAGGAGAACAGAGGUUUGGGGGUGCGGAGGAUAAGGGAGUUUAAUUUGGCGUUACUUGUUAAAUGGUGUUGGAGGAUUAGGGUUGAAAAUAGGAGUUUGUGGUAUAGAGUUUUAGCAUCACGAUACGGGGAGGUAGGAGGAAUAAUCGAUGAGGAGGGGCGAUUUAACUCUGUUUGGUGGAAUAAUUUGAUUAAUAUUAAAAAUGGGGCUGGUGUGGGAAUUGGUCGGUGGUUUGAUGCUAAUGUUGGGCGAGAGGUAGGAGAUGGUACACAAACUUUAUUUUGGUGGGAUCCUUGGAUUGAUGGCAUGGUUUUGAAAAAUAGCUUUAGUCGCCCUUUUGAUCUUGCUACUAAUAAAAUGGCAACGGUGGCUGAAAUGUAUUCACUUGGGUGGGGGGAGGAGGGUGAAGCUUGGAAGUGGCGGCGUCGGUUGUUAGCUUGGGAGGAGGGGAAGGUGCAGGAGUGUUGUGAUAUUUUAACUAAUAUUGUUUUGCAGUCUAAUCAUUUUGACAAGUGGAUUUGGCAUUUACAUUCAUCCAACAAAUAUAACGUCGCAAGUGCUUAUAAUUACUUGUUGUCUUCAACAAAUAACAACUUUGCAGCUGAUCACAUAACUGAAAUUUGGAAUAAGGAAGUGCCUUUAAAAGUCAGUCUCCUUGCUUGGCGUCUGCUUCUUAAUAGAUUACCAACAACAGACAAUUUAGUUAAAAGACAAAUUAUACAACCAAAUGCUCAAGUUUGUGUGGGCGGAUGUGGCAUGUUAGAAGACGCAGAACACUUAUUCUUCUCUUGUGAUUUUUUUGGUAAACUGUGGUAUGGUAUUUCUCACUGGCUUAGGUUCCAUAUAGUGUUUCCUGAACAUGUGUCAGAUCAUUUGUAUCAAUUUGGCACCUUAGGCGGGUUUUCCAAAAGCAACCGCUCAGCUUUUAAUCUCAUAUGGCUUUCUUGUGUGUGGGUGAUUUGGAUAGAAAGAAACACUCGGGUCUUUCAUCAAAAAGAGGCCUCGUUCAUUCAAUUAUUAGAUAAAAUUAAACUUCAAUCAUACUGGUGGCUGAAAGCGAACCGUCCUACCUUUGCUUUUUCCUACCAUUUGUGGUGGUUGAACCCUUUACCUUGUCUGGGUAUUUAUCUGUAAUGGGGUGAUUUUGUCAUUUGAUCUUUUAUUUUUAUUUUUUGUUACCCUUUGUUCUGUGGUUGUAAUUUGAUACUCUUUCAGCUGGGGUUUUUGCACUUCUUGUGCUAAAAUUUUCAGGCUUCAGUAUUAUAUUUCAUUUUAGCUUCUUCAAAAAAAAUCAAUUGAUAAGAGAAUCAACCCAUUUGUCAAUUAGUUUAAUUGCAAUUUGUUGAUAGUUUUUUAAAAUUAUACUAUUAUGGUUCAAUUAGUUACCUUUCUUUUUUUUUUUUUUUUUUUAUUUUUUUUUUAUCAAAACAAGCUCUGUUAGAAUGUUUUAUGAUAAAUAAGUUUUGUGAAUUUCUUUUAAAAUUGAACUGAAUUCGAACAUAACUCAAAAUCUCAACAAUUCGAUCUCUAUUCCCGUUCCUUCAACAUUACUUAAUACAUUAUAGAGGAGUCAAAUUUAUAUGCUUGUAUUUAAAUAACUUUUGAUCUUAUCCACAUUUUAUUUAUUUUUUAAAAAGUUAAUGAUGUUCGUAAAAAAUGUUGAUGAAUGUUGAUUCAAUUGAUAAUGAUUUACGCUAAAGCAAACACUUGUACAUAAACAAGGGUUUUGAAAUUUUGACGUCUAAAGUGGCAAUUUUCAAGUCUUGACAACAAGAUCGACUUAGACCACCUAUAUUGAUUGUAUUGCUCUUUGACCUUUUGAACAUGUUUAUUAUUAUCGUGAGUAGCUAAACUCAUUGGAUUAUACUUGAAGGAUGAAUGUCUAUAGUAUUGUUUGAGCCAUGUAAUCUAUGAGUUCUCUAUCAAUACAUUUGAACAUAUGUUUAUUCAUUACAUCUUGUGUUUAAUUCUAUUUAUUGUCUGAUCAACAUCGAAUUGAUUUUAUGUUAUAAUUCACUAUCAACAAUAGGUUAUGUAACAAGGGGUAGGUAAAGUGUUCUCCAAAAAACUAAGUAGUUGAAUGGGCAAUUAAUCUUUGGAUAAAUUGAGUGUCACAAAAAACAUUAGGGUAUUAUUUUAGAUAAACGAAAUCAUGAGCCAAUUUAAUAAUUUGAAAAAAUCACAUAAUUUAAUGUAAUUAUAUGUGUUGGUGUCAGACACACCUAAUCCGAGGAGUGUUCGUGUUUCAUAGUAAAUUACUAUGUAUCUAUUAUGUUUUUUCCCCAUAAUUUGUCAAUCAUUAGCAUAAAAGUAACACCUGCUCUGUUUCUUUUAGAAACCAUCAUCAGAGAUAAAGUUGCAAACUUACUAUGGUGUUGACAAGGAAACUUUCUACCAGGUGGUAAAAUAGAGAAUGAAGUGAGAUUUAACUGUUCAAUUUUACUACAUGGUUUGCUCAAAGAGGUUCACAUUAUAACUACCAUAUAAUUUUUUAUUUGGGGGAGGUUGUUAGGUUAAAAAGAAUACGAUAUAAAGAGGAAAUGUCAUCCCACACCAACCAACCUAAUUCGUCAUAAAGAGGCUUAUUCUCAUAAACAUACAAAUUCAACAGCAACAAACAUGAAAUUUCAUUUUGAACUCAAAUGUUUCAUCCUUUCGAUAAGCAAAAGAAAUAAAUUGAUGUAGAAUUUCCCAUCCUUUACCUAAUUCGUCAUUUUCAAAAGACCACAAAUAUUUAAAAAGUACCGUUUACAUCAUCAGAAUUAAAUUAUCAUAAUUCACAAUUAAACAAAAAAAGUGAAAUCUAAACCAUCUAAAUAAUUAUAAUUCCUUACAUUUUCUUUGUUCUUUCUUUUAUGAAGUUAAGUUUAGAUGAUCACUAAGAUACAGAUUCUUGAAAAUUAAUCAUGCAGCUUCAGCAGGGUUUGUAAUUUUAAACAGGGACAAUAAUCAUUGCCUAAUAAAGUCAUUUAAAGUAAAUGAAGCAGAUCAAUAGUGCAUUGGGAUGAAAAUGGAUAGUAAUUUCAAGAAUUCAAAAGUCUACCAUUUCGGAAAAAAUAAAUGACUUUGAUCACAUUUAAACUAAUAGUGAGCCCAGAGCAUGAUACAUCUAUUCUUAUGAGUAACUAUCAAAGGAAAAAAAGACUUGAUGGUUGUGAUUAAAAUUCAAAAUAAUAAAUUGUAACAUUGUACCUAGUUUUAUGCUUAUAGUAGGCCUCUAGCAAUCAUUUCACGAAGAAUUUUAUCUGCUUUAUCAUUCUCCCUGCUUUCAAAGAGUGCACAAAUGAACAUCUCAACAGUUUAUAGCAUUUGGAAAGCAACCCUUAGCUUUAAUUUUUUAUAGCAAAGCAGAUGCUUUUACAACCAAACCUUCUUAACAAAGACCACUGAUCAUAUAUUUAUAAGUAACAACAUCUACAUUGUAUCCUUUAAUCAAAAGAUCCUUAAAAAUUUGUUGUGCAUCCUUAAGUCUUCCCCCUUUAGACAAACCAUCAAUAAGCAUACUACAUGUGUACAAAUCCACCUGAAUGCCUUGGUUAUGAAUUUCCUUGACUAAUGCAAUUGCCUUAUCAAGUUGAUGAUUUUUGCAAAAAGUGUGCAAGAAGGAAUUGUAAGUGAUUUCAUCGGCUGGUUGACCCAUAUCACGCAUCUCACGAACAAGCUUCCAUGCAUAAGAAAUUCUUCCUGACUUGCACAAACCAUCAAUAACAGUGUUGUAAGUUACUAUGGUAGGGAUGAUAUUUUUGGAAUACAUUUCUUCAAAAAGAUCCAAUGCCUCAUCCAUCAUUUUACUCUUACAAAACCCAUUAAUCACGAUAUUGUAAUUGUGAACAUCUUUAGCCACUCCCACUGCAACCAUAGUGUUAAAUGUAUGUUUGGCCUUGUUCACUCCAUUUAAUAGGCAGUACCCAUCCAUUAAAGCACUAUAUGUAACAACAUUAGGUUUCAUACCUUGUAUCAUCAUCACACCUAAUAUGUUUUUAGCUUCUUUCAUAUUUCCUUGCAAACAAAACUCAUCGAUAAAUAUAUUAAAGGUACAAACAUCUGGGUUGACGAUGUUUUCAUGAAAGUGCAAUGCCUUUUGGACGUCACCAUUAAGACAUAAUGCUUUCAAAAGUGUAGUCAAGGUUAUGAUAUUUGGAUGAUAACCCAUCUUAAGAAUCUUGCCGAAUAGGGAAAAGGCGAAAGUCAUUUGACUUAAGUGGCAGUAACGGUUGAUCAAGAUGUUGAUAGUAACAAUGUCAGGCCUGAUUCCUUGGAAUUCCAUUUGUUGAGAAAUGGAAAUAGGUUUUAAAUAGUUCUUCUUGGUCUUAACAAGGGAGCUUAAAAUUUUGUUAAAUUCUAUGAUGGAAGGGAUAUUACGCAUUUGAGAGUGGGAGAAUAACCUUGAGGUUAAGAAGGGAAAUGAAAUAGGAAGAUAGGGUUUUGAAAGAAACCUUGUUAAUCUAACCGAAUUUUUGCAUAUAAAAGAAAAAACUAUUUGAUAGAAACAUUAUGUUAAUAUCAACUAUAAGCAAAUAAAGUGUAACCAAAAAAACUAUAAGCAAAUAAAGUUCAUUUGACUGAAUUGCCCUUCAUUGAAAUAAUCAAAUCAAAAUAUUCCAACAUUCUAUUGAUUUCCUCUCACUUAUUAUGAACGAGGGUAAAGUUGAAGGAACACAAAAAUAGUGUUCCAUUAAAAUUUUUAAGAGAUAGAGGAAAAAAAAAAUGUCUCGAAAAAACAUAUUAAAAAAUCUGAUUGUCCAAAGCUUCUGGGAUACCCAGGCUUCAAGCUUAUAUAGAGUUCCUAUGAAAAUAUAGAUAUGUUCACCAAGGCCCCAAUGGAUGAGCCUCUAUCAGACCAAGCUUGACCCCUACAAUCAAACCCUACGACGAGACUUUAAAGUCGAUUGCACACCUAAAACAUUAGGUCUUGCCAUAACAACCAUUGCAUUUAUUGGUUUUGAUAAUUUGACUUCCUUGCUUGAUUGGUGACGGCCAAGGCACACCAUUAGCAAGGAAAGCUUUGAGGGCUGAGUAUUACUGGCCCACAAUGUAUCUAGACGCCAAGGAACACGUGAAAACGUGUGAAUAUGUUUGAAACCCAAAUUUCAUGAAAAACUCAAACAAACAUACUUUAGAUGAAUACCUACCUUCCACAUGUUACUACUCCCAAACUCGACCUUUCAACCCCACAGUAGUUCCACGACCAAUUUUGUUGGUGAACAAUACUUUGAACAAGACUCUUCAUCAAAGGCUACAACGGCGAUGCUUGUAACUUUAAAGAAUGUCUUAAUUUUUAUUGAAGGUUAUGUGUGUGUACACACACUAAAGGCUUAUUUAGCUAUAAAACUUAUCAAGUGCUUAUAAGAUAAGAGUUGUCAUACGAUAAAGACACAUAAAAGAUAUUAAAUUAUACCGAUGUCAUGUUACACUAUUUAAUAUCAUUUUAUUCGAUACAUAUUUUUUUAAAUUUGACCGUUGAAUUGUAAGUUUAUAUCAUAUAGAUUAUCUGUAUAAAAAUAUACACAAAUCUAAAAUCAUUUGAUAUGUUAUUAAGACUUCUCAAGAAAAUUAGAAGUUGGCGUUGGUCAUGUACUUCAUUUUAAGCUUCUUGUGAAUAAGUUUCCGUUCAAACCAACAACUAUCAUAGUCAUUAGUCGACGAUCUCUACCAAAAUCUUCAUAGAAUUUUUCACGAGAACUAAAAGUAAUUUGUUUAAGUAAAUUUGCGUUUCUUAAUAGAUUGCUAGCUAACUCAAUUACAUUUAUGGAACAAAUACAACCACAUAACUCUACAUAUUUCAAGUCAUUAUGAAAAAAAUCCGGUAUAUUCUCUUCUUUGCCUCUUAAAUCCACCCCCAGUAGGCAUAUACAACAAAUGGAUGACUUAUUCAUCAUUUUAAACGAAAUAAGAGGUUGCUUGUCAUGAUUAAGUUAUAAUAGAUAACUUAUAACGUAUAAACACAAAAUAGAGUUGCUUGAUAGCGGUUAUUUUCUCAUGAGAUUGUAGUAUUUUUCAUAUGGUAAUUCAACUCAAUGUAUAAUUUAUUAAUUUUUCUCAUUUUUAUCCUCAUUAAUAUUAUUGAAAAAUUUACAUAUAAAUUUAAAAAUAUAUUUUUACGUCAUUUUAUAUAUAUAAUUUUUUUUAAAGAGAUUAAAUUAGUCCACUUAAAUUAGCACCAGGGAAAACCGAAUAUGAGACAUUGAGGAAGAACACGCGAAUAAACAGGAAAGUGAAAUUCUUUUUAAUGAACAACAAAAAAAUAUAAAGAGUUGAAUACUCAAUCAUAAGAGAGUUUUUGAAGAUGUUGUGAAGCCAUUGCAAUAUCUAAAAUUCAAAAGUAAUCCAUAUUAGAAUCUUAUGCUCCCUCAAUAAGUAACUUUGUCUAAGAUUUUGAAAUUGAACCAAAACCGUCAUUAAUUUUGCUACCUGUUUGCACCAUUGAGAUUUGAAAUGGGUUAAAAGAAGCAACUUAGUGCCACAAAAAAUUAAAAGAAACCUAGACUGUCAAUAGCAGCAAAUAGCGCUGCUAUCUUGGUGGAACAUUGUGGAGCAGCAGUUUGCAACCACAACAAUUCACAAUCAUCACAUAUUAAAUUUAAGGUUGAAUUAAGACUACAUGGCUGUAACAAUGCAUUAAAAAAAUAAAUAGAAAAAAGCUUUGGGUCAAGAGAAACAACUUGAAUUCUGAGUAAUUGGGAUACACUGCAAAAUUAAGACUAAACUAAUUUAGAAAUAAAAAGAAGGAAUGGAUUUAAAUAGAAAGAAAAGAGAAAUGAGCCUCGAUUAUAAGGAGGAAUACCAUGUGUGAAUUUUCCAAAUGAGGGUUUCUAAUCUGAAAAUUGAAAAAUAAGAAUCAUAAUAGUACAUAUUGCAAAUAUUAAAUAAGGAAAAUAAAACUUCUAGUUCAAGUCAAGUUUAAUUUCAUAAGAUUGACUUACAUUUAACUGUUUAGAAAACUAUUAUUCAUAAAAAAAAGUUGAAUUACAACAAUUUAAUUAAAAAGUGAGCAACCAAAGAACAAAGAGUUGAAAUACUAACCGUAAGGGAAAGUUUUUGGAGAUGUAGAGAAGACAUUGCAAUAUCUAAAAUCCAAAAGUAGUCUUUAUUAGGAUCAUAUGCUCCCUCGAUAAAUAACUCCAAUUGUCUAAGAUUUUGAAAUUUAACCAAGAUCUUCUUUAAUUCCCCUACCUGUUUGCAACAGUAAUAUUUAAAGUGGAUUAAAAGCAACUAGUGCCUCAAAUAAUUAAAAGAAACCUAGGCAGCCAAUAGCAAGAAAUAUCCUGGUGGAACACUGGAGCAUAAAUUUGCAAUCAUCACAUAUUAAGAUUAAGGUUGUGGCCGGAGCAGUAGAGAAUGUGUCCUAUUUUUGCAACACAGAACGCGUCUGACAUGACACUACAUGGUUGUAACAAUGCUUUAAAAAAACCAAAACAAAAAUUGGAAAAAACUUGUGUUGAGAGAAAGAACUUAACUUCUGAGUGACUGAGUGAAAAAUCAAGACUAAACUAAGAAUGUAAAAGAAAAAGGUAAAACGUUAGUAGCAAAUGUGUUACUUUUGUUGCUGGUGUUUAGGAUAUAAAGUUGAGCCAGCGCAAACCAUUAUUAAUGGGUCAAGUGUAUUGAAUCUUUAUUUUUGAAGUUUAAACUAAUCAUAAGAUGUGUUGUUUGAAUUGGAUGCAAAACUGGAAGUUGAUUGGUUUAAUAGAAAAACUUCCUUAACUCUAUUGAUCAUUUUAUUCUUGAUUGUAAGUUUCUUUUAUCUCAAGUAGGAAAUAUCUCAGCUCAUUUUGGUAUAAAAAACAUUAAGACAUAUACUAUAUGUAUAUAUCUUAUUGAUUAUAUAAUAUAUACAUAAAUAUUUGAAUAGCCACAAUACCCGCAUUACACCACACAGCUAUCUGAAUAAUGUUGGCAAAUAAUUCUUGGAUGUACACAAAGAUUUGGUUGAUCACACACACAAAAAAAUACAAAACUCAUAAGAUUAUUUUAAAAAUUAUUAUUUAAUUAUUCCAUUUUUUUGUGGCCAAACACAAAAGAAUUGCUCAAUGUUGGGGCCAAUGGGUAUAUGUAAAGCGAGAUUGACAACCUAAAUAGAAACAAUAAACAUCAACCAGAAAACGUGGUUUUUGAGCGACUCACCUGUGAAGUGCUUAUGAUCAUAGAUAAAUUCUGGAUAUGUUGUAAUCUGGCAAUUGGACCAAAAGGAUGUGGAUUUUUCUCUCUUUUAGCCGCGUUCCAGAAAACCUUUAAUAAUAUUGGAGCAUUAACAUCAAAUUCCGUCAGGGUGUGACCACUAUAUUCAAAGGAUGUGAGAUUCAAUGCAUUGAUAUCUAUGCGUCGAGGUAAAUGUCUAUAGCCACAAUCAAUUAAUUUCAAAUGACGCAACUUUGGACUGGUAAUAUUCAAAUCACGUACCAUCCUGCAAUUCUUAAAGGUGAGGUUCGAGUUGGAGACAUUCAGAAAACAAAAGAGGUAUGACAUCAUCUUGGAGACAUCUUUGGAUUCCAUCAAACACAAUGGUUGUCACAUUUUUCAGUCCAGAAAACUCAAAAGCAUUGGUGAAUUGACCACCUCUGUAGGUAGAAAUUUGACUACUUCUGUAGCUAAACUUGGAUAGGAUUUGAGCCUGAAUGUUCAUCAUGUGUAUGUGUAGUGGAUAACUAGAAUUGAAAGAAUAUUCGAUGGAUGAGAGAUUUGAUGCAAUGAUAUCUAUAUUCCUCACCCUCCCAAGUUGAUCUCCACAGUUAACAAUGUUCAAAUGAAACAAUGUUGGACUGGUGAUUUUUAAGUCAGAGUUCAAAUCACACUGAUCAAGGGUGAAGUUUACAAGAUGAAUGCAAUUUGAAAACAAACCCUGAAGUAGAUUUUGAUUCACAUUAAGUAGUUGCAACACAAGAAGAGUUCUCAAAUUCUUGAAUCCUGAGAAAUCAAAAGGUGCUAGUAGGUAGCAACUUUGUAGGUGAAGAUAAGUGAGAGAAUCAGUGUCCGAUAAGAGAGUAAAGGAAAAUUUGUAUAGCAAACUAUAUGGAUACAAAAAAUUAAUUGGAUCAUUAGUUUCAGAUGAGAAGAGCAAUUCAAUACGUUUGGCACCCUUAGUAAUUCCUUUGGAAAUCAUUCUGUCAAUUGCAUCUUGUGUUUAGAACCUAAUGGAAAAUUUACUCGGAUUGAACUAAUCAUAUCAUCUUGAUAAUGCAGCAUGAAUUGAUCCAAUCUUUUGGCAAAUUCAGAUUGAAACCCUUGAAGGAGUGGAAGGCUUUUCGGUAACUCUUGAACUGUAUUAGAGUCAAACAUGUUAUGGAGAUCAAAAUUGAGGUCCAUUCUUAAUGACCAUUCAUCAGGGCCGGCCCAUAGCCCGUCGAGGCUGGGCGACGACACCGGGCCUCCAAUUUUUUGGGGCCCAAAAUAUUUUUUUUUAAUAUGUAAGACACGAAAAUAAUGAUUAUAUAUCUAUUAAAAGCGAAUUAAUUUAAUUUGUCAGCUUGCUUUAGUGGCGUGGCCACUUUUUGUUGAGUGUGAGGUCAUGUGUUCAAGACCCACCAAAGUGUGAUUUUUAAUAUAUUUUUUUUAAAUAACUUAUUUAUUUUUUUGGGGCCCAGAUUUUUUUUUUUUUUACAUCCCUUAUAAAAUUAAAACCGGGCCUAUGAAUUUGUUAAGACGGCCCUGCCAUUCAUGACGCCAAUGUUUUGACAGUGUGCUUGUUUUCACCAAAUCCUUCAAACCUAACCUUGAAAAGAUAUUCGAUAAAAUGCAAUCAGGCAACUCAAUCUUGGGCUUUUUAGACCUCCUCUUCAUUGCUACUGCAAUUAAUAACGAGUAAACACCAGAAUUUAAAUUAAAACUAAAACAUAAACAAUCAAACAAAACUAUAAUAGAUUUUAUUUUUAGUUACAUGAUGGUACUACAGAAUAUACACACAGGCGAUUGUAGAUAAAUAGGUAAAGAACUAAUUAGAACCUGCAGAAGAAAAUUCGGCUGUUGUAGAAGACGAUGCUUGUGUUGAAGAAGAUUAAUGGGGACGGCUCAGAUGGAAAACCUAAAGAAUUAGGAUUUGUUUUUCUAGAUUAUUAUUUAUAGAGUCGUAAGAACAAACGAGAUUAAAAAAAUUAAAAAUACUAAAAACUAUUUACAUAAAAAAAUUAAAAUAGUUAUAACUAAAUAUAGGAUUUUUUAUCUAUACUAUACUAUACCACUACCAUAAAAAAAAACUAUAUAGUAAGAGAAUGGGGAUUUUAUGAUACUUUGGGUUGACUUAUUUGUUAUUUCUAUUAUACCCUUAAAUAAUUUGCUUGUCCAUGUGAGCUUAGCUCAGUUGGUAGGGAUAUUGCAUUAUUUAUGCAGGGGUCGGGGUUCGAACCAUGAACACCCCACUUCUCCACAUUUAAUUGUGUGAGCUCUAGCCACUAGACUAAAAAAAAAAUAUAUUUGUAUAUAAUAAUGUUAUAUUGUUGGUGUUAUAAAAAAUAAGAAUGUUUGUUAUAUCUCUUAUAUUAUUGUUGUUAUUGAAAAAUAUAAAUAUAGUUUGUUGAGUUUGUUACAUUUGAAAGUCACAAAUAUCUAUAUUUAUAUUUUUAAACUAUAUAAAAAAUUAUAUAAAAUAUCGUUUAUAAUUUACAUGCAUUUUUUUAUUUUAUUUUAUAAAAUAUGAUUAUUAAUCUACACAAGUUAGCGCAACAAAAAGAGCAAAAAAAAAAACGAACACACGAGUGUCCAUCUUUUCGCUAGUGUAUAUAAUAGCGUUCAGCUCGUCGGAGUCCCUUCGUAUGUCCUCUCUUCUUAUUGUGAUAAUACAUAUAAAUUACGAACAAUAAUUGUUAUACAUGUAUUUUAAUUUUAGUGGGUUUUAAGCAAUCUUAAUCAGUUGUACUAAUCUCCAACAAUAGAUGGGGACUGUCCUAGUUCAUAGUCAUUUUGAUUAUAUUGGUGCUAUAUAUUUUAGCAUUUGAAUAAAUGAAGUUUAUUUAUUGUAAAAAAAGAAGUGAUAAUGCACAAAAGUAACAUAAUAUUUAUUAAGGAGUGUUUUGGUAGUCCCCAACGACUAAAUGAUUUUAGACCAAUUUCAUUGGUGGAUAGCAUGUAUAAAAUUUUGGCGAAGGUGCUUGCUAACAGACUUCGCUCUAUGAUUGACUAUGUUGUUUCGGACACCCAGUCGGCUUUCAUAAAAUGCCGUCUGAUUUUGGAUGGCAUUUUUGUUGCAAAUGAAAUAGUUGAUGAAGCUCAUAGAUGUAAAAAAGAAUUGAUUCUGUUCAAGGUGGAUUUUGAGAAAGCAUUUCAUUCAAUAGACUGGGGUAUUUAGAUGAGGUUAUGGGGAAAAUGAGCUUUCUGACUCUUUGGAGAAAAUGGAUAACAGAGUGCAUUGAAACAUCUACUGCUUCGGUCUUGGUAAACAGGUCUCCAACUGAUGAGUUUUCUUUGGGGAGGGGGUUGAGACAGGGUGACCCUCUCUCCCCAUUUUCGUUCAUGUUAGCUGCAGAUAGGCAUGACAAUGGGGCGGGGUGGGGACGGGUUUUACCUUCCCCGUUCCCAUACUCGAUUCUCAUAUACUUACCCGUUACCCUACCCAUACUCAACGGGGAUGAGAAAUUGAAUCCCAUCCCCGUCCCCGAUGGGUUUGGGUAUCCCCGCCCCAUCCCCGUCCCGGCAUUGAAUAUAUUUUUUUUAAUAAAAAAUAGAAGUUAUUUUGCAUCCCCAAGAGCAACGUUGUAAUACAUCAUCCAACAAUACGCUCACUUUAACAUUUGUUAGACGGAAUGAUUUAGUUGAUCCUUUAGAUAUCAAUGGUAGUAAUUAUCAAACAAAAUAACAUGACAUAUCAACAUAAAAUAAUUUUUUACAUUUGGGACGGGUUUAGGUAUGGGUUCGGGGUGGGUACCUAUAUAGCCGUUAUCCGUUCCAUACCCAUGUUUUGAAAUCGGGGAAAACCCAUACCCAUACCCAAACCCAGUCAAAACGGGAAAAUCCGUCAAAUUGAGUUUGGUUCGGGCGGGUAACCGUGGGUAUAGUUUUUGUUGCCAUGCCUAGCUGCAGAAGGUUCUAAUGUGUUGAUGGAGUCGUUAUUGGCUAAUAAUCUCUUUUUCGGCUAUAAGGUGUGUGACAAUAAUACGACAGUUGUGUCUCAUCUUCAGUUCGCAAAUGACACCUUGAUUUUGGGAGAUAAAUCGUGUGCUAAUAUUAGGUCCAUGCAUACUAUUCUUAUUUUUUUUGAAACUUUGUUGGGUUUAAAGGUGAAUUUUUCGAAAAGUCAUUUAGUAGGUGUGAAUGUUGCAAUGUCUUGGUUGUCAAAAGCGGCUAUGGUGCUGAAUUGUAAGGUGGGUUCCAUUCCCUUUGUGUAUAUGGGCGUGCCUAUUGUUGGUAACGCUCGACGCUUGUCCUUUUGGGAUCCUUUUAUUAAUCGUAUUAAGACUAGACUGUCAGGUUGAAAAUCGAAGCUUCUGUCUCUGGGUGGUCGUUUGGUUUUGCUGAAGUCUGUCUUGUCGUCGCUGCCUGUUUAUGCUCUUUCUUUUGUCAAGGCUCCGUCAGGUAUCGUCUCCUCUAUCGAAUCUAUUUUUUUUUGGGGUGGGGCGGGGGGGAGUGAUGACCACAGGAAAAUAGCUUGGGUGGAUUGGAACACUGUUUGUAGGAGUAAGGAGGUUGGUGGUUUGGGGGUAAGGAGAAUUAGUGAGUUUAAUAUUGCAUUGUUAGGGAAGUAGUGUUGGAGGUUGAUGACAGAUACUAGUAGUUUGUGGUUUAGGGUGUUGUCAGCGCGGUAUGGCUUGGAGGGUAGGCGGUUGAAGGGGGGAGGCCGUGAGGCCUAGUCUCUAGGAUUAAGUCAGGUGGUAGGUUUAAAGGUUAACGACAAAAUAUGCUUAAUAAGUCAGGUGGUCGAUAGGAUUAAGUCUCUCGCUUUUAGGUGGUUGAAGGUGAAAUUUCCUACUCUUCCCUUUAACUACCAUAGAUGGUGGCUUAGUCUGUUCACCUUGUUAGGCAUAGGUUGAUAGUUAUUUCUUUUUUGUUUGUUUUUGUACAGUUUCCUCUUGUAAAUAUUGUUUCGACGUUGUUUGUCCUUCCUAUGUACACCUUGUGCUAGGAAAGACUUUUUGAGUUGGUAAUAUAUUCCAUUUUAGCCUCUUCAAAAAAAAAAAAAAAGGAGUGUUUUAAACACUUUAUUAAGAAAUCAUAAGAUAUAUUCAAAGUUCCUUAAAAAAAAAAGAUAUAUUUUCUUUUUAGGAAAAAAAAAAAAGGAUAUAUUCAAAGUUAAAAUAUAUCCACAAUUAUAAAAAAAUAAAAAUAAUCAAGCAUAUAAAAAAGAGCCGUAUCUUGUGGUUUGCUACUUAAUAACUAGACUAAAACGAUGUUUGAAAUGAAACAAAGCCAAUGCAAAUAUAUGAAUUUACGAUGAAAUUACGAGCAUUGAAUCAUUGAGGGUGCCAAGAAAGCGCAAAGAUAAUCAAAGACAAAAUAGCAUACAUAUCAUGUGACAUCUGCUAAGUCUUUAAGGUGCAAUUCAAAACUAUUACAUAUUUGGGCAACAGUGCCAUGCACAGAAACAAAUAGAUUCAUAAUAGAAUAUAAUGCUCUCAGAUUCUUUUGGUUAAGAUACUGUUUUAGAAACAGAAAGAAGGAAUGGAUUUAAAUAGAUUGAAAAGAAAAGAGAAAUGAGCCUUCAUAAUAUAAUAGAAUAUAUUAGAGAAGGUAACCGUUCGAUCUAAAAAUGGUUGAGCCUCUAUCAGACCAAGCUUGAUCGCCUACAAUCAAAUACAACAUUCAGCUCGAUUGCACACCUAAAGCAUUAAGCCUUAUGCUCUUGAAACCCAAGUUUCAAAUUUUGUACUAGAAUUGUGCAACUAGUGUAAAUUGACCAGGAAAAACACAACAAACAUUCUUUACGCAAACACCUUCCACCAGUUAAAACUCCCCAACUCAAUCCAUCUAUCCCACAAUAGUUCCCUGACGAAUUUUGUUGAACAAAUCUCUUCAUCAAAGGCUACAACAACGACACUAAUGACUUUAAAGAAUAUCUUAAUUCUAAUUGAAAGGUUAAACAUGUGAGGCCGCGCACUAUAAACUUAUCAAGCGUUCAUAAUAGGAUAAGAGUUUGUUAUAUGAAAACCACUUAUUUAUAAGAUCUUUUAACAAGACCAGCAUCUCUAACACUACAAUGAUUCCUUCAAAUAUAAAUAAAAAACACCUAAGAGGAUAAUUAUUAUUGAAAUUCAUAUCAAUGUAACUUAGACAAUGUUUGUGGGAAUGAAUUAACUAAUGUCACUACAAACUUCAUUAUAAAUAAAUAAAAUAAAUUUAGAAAAUUAUAAGUUGACAUUGUUCAUGUACUUCAUCUUUAAGCAUCUUAUGAAUUAGAUUCCGUUCAAACCGACAACAACCAUUAGAGUCAUUAGUCCAUCCACCAGCUCCUGUAUAGAAUUUGUCACUAGAACCAAAAGUAAUUUGCUUAAGAGAAUUUGCUUUCCUCAAUAGCUGACUAGCUAACUCAAUUAUAUUUAUGGAGCAAACACAACCACGAAAGUCUACAUAUUUCAACUCAUUAUGACAAAAUUUUGCAUGAUUUCUUCUUUGCCUCUUAAAUCCACCCAUGUGUGAAUUUUCCAAAUGUAGAUUUCUAAUCUGAAAAUAGAAAAAUAAUGACCAUAAUAGUACACAUUCAAAAUAUAAAAUAAGAAAAAUAAAAACAUUCAGUUCAAGUCAAGUUUAAUUUCAUAAGAUCGACUUACAUUUAAUUGUUUAGAAAACUAUUAUUCAUAAAAAAAGUUAAUUUAUAACACUUCGAAUAAAAAGUGGACAACUAAAGAAAUAAAGAGUUGAAUUACUCACUGUAAGAGAAAGUUUUUGGAGAUGCUUAGAAGCCAUUGCAAUAUCUAAAAUCCAAAAGUAAUCCAUAUUAGGAUCAUAUGCUCCCUCGAUAAAUAACUCCAGUCGUCUAAGAUUUUGAAAUUGAACCAAGACUUGUUUUAAUUUCACCACCUGUUUGCACCAAUAAUAUUUAAAGUCAAUUAAAAGCAACUGGUGACUCAAAUAAUUAACAAAAACCUAGGCAGUCUAUAGCAGGAAAUAUCCGAGUGGAACACUGGAUCAGCAAUUUGAAGCCACAAUAAUUCCCAAUCGCUGAAUAUUGAGUUAAGGUUGCGGCCGGAGAGGUAGAGAUUGUGUCCUAUUUUUGCAACGCAUAAUGUGUCUCACACGACACUACAUAGCUGUAACAACGCAUUAAAAAAAAAAAACGAAAAAUCUUGUGUCAAGAGCAACAACUUGACUUCUGAGUGAUUGAAAUACUGUGAAAUAUCAAAACUAAACUAAGAAUGUAGAAGAGAAAAAGUGCAAACAGGUCGUAGAAAAUGUGUUACUUUUGUUGGUGGUAUUUAGGAUAUAACGUUGAGCAGCAAACAAUUAUAAUGAGUCGUUCAAUCUUUCUUUUUUGUGUUUACACUAACAAUGAGGUGUUGUAAUUGGAUGCAAAACUGAUAGUUGACUGGUUUAAUCGAUAAACUCCCUUAGCUCCUAUUGAUGAUUUUAUUCCUUGAUUUUAAGUUUCUUUGUCUCAAGUAGAGCAGCUCAUUUUGGUAUAAAAAAUUAAGAUAUAUACAUUAUAAAUCUUUUUUAUUUGACCAAAUACAUAUACAUCUUAUUCGUAUAUAACCGGAUUCGUUAUAGUCCCUCCUGUGAUAUUCCAACCACCCCACGAAUUGGUUAUUUCUAAACGAGUCAUAAAGGGUAUAACGAACAUACCCUGUCUCCACAUUGGGUCAAGAACAGGGUCAGAGGGAUUUAUAAAUACAUAUUUGAAUAGCAGCAAUGCCGCGGAAUCCACCAAACCUCUAUUUAAUUCCAUGACCAACAGCUACGCACCGCUAUGCAAGAUUAACGAACUAUGUAGAAACAAUAAAACAUCAACAAGCAAACUUGGUUUUUGAGUGACUCACCUGUGAAGUGCUCAUAAUCAUAGAUAAAUUCUCAAUAUGUAGUAAUCUUGCAAUUGGACCAAAGGGAUGCUGAUUUUUUUCUCUUUUAGCUGCAUUCCAAAAAAGCUUCAAUAACAUUGGAGCCUUAACAUUAAACCCAACCGUCGUAUGACCACUGUAUUCAAAUGAUGAGAGAUUCAAUGCAUCGACAUCUGUGUGGUUAGGGUUUGGAUAUUGAUAGUCACAAUCAAUUAUUUUCAAAUGGUGCAACUUUGUACUAGUAAUAUUCAAAUUAUAUAUGAUCCAACAGUUCUUAAAGGUGACAUCCUCGAGUUGGAGACAUUCAGAAAACAAAAGACGAAUGACAUCUUGUUGGAGAUUUUGAUGGAUUCCAUCAAAUACAAUCGUUGUCACAUUUUUUAGUCCAGAAAACCCAAAAGCAUAAAUUUGAUUACCUCUAUAUCUAAACUUGGAUAACAUUUGAGCCUGAAUGUUCAUUUUGUGUAUUGGAUAACUAGAAUUGAAAGAAUAUUCAAUGGAUGAGAGAUUUGAUGCAAUGAUAUCUAUACUCCUCACUCUCCCAAUUUGAAUCCCACAAUUAACAAUGUUCAAAUGAAACAAUGUUGAACUGACUAUUUUUAAGUCAGACUUGAAAUCACAAUGAUCAAGGGUGAAGUCUACAAGAUGGUUGCAAUUUGAAAACAAACCCUGAAGCAGAUUUUGAUGCACAUGAACUAGUUGCAACACAAGAGUUCUCAAAUUCUUCAAUCCAGAGAAGUCAAGAGGUGCUACUAGGAGGCAAUUUUGUAGGUGAAGAUAAGUGAGAGAGUUAGUGUCCAAUAAGAGAGUAAAGGAAAACUUGUAUAGCUCUAUUCGACGCAAAAAAUGACUUGGAUCAUUAGUUUCAGAUGAGAAGAGCAAUUCAAUACGUUUGGCACCCUUAGCAAUUCCUUUGGUAAUCAUUCUGUCAAUGGAAUCAUUGUAUUUAGGACCUAAUGGAAAACUUAGUCGGAUUGAACUAAUCAUGUCGCCUUGAAAAUGCAGCAUGAAUUGAUCCAAUCUUUUGGCAAAUUCAGAUUGAAACCCUUGAAGGAGCGGAAGACUUUGUGGUAACUCUUGAACUGUAUUAGAGUCAAACAUGUUAUGGAGAUCAAAGUUAAGGUCCAUUCUUAAUGCCCAUUCAUGACACCAAUGUUUUGAAAGUGUGCUUGUUUUUACCAAAUCCUUCAAACCUAACUUUGAAAAUAUAUUUGAUAAAAUACAAUCAGGCAAUGCAAUCUUGGGCUUUUUAGACCUCUUCCUCUUCAUUGCUACUGCAAUUAAUAACGAGCAAACAGCAGAAUUUAAAUUAAAUAAAACUAAAAUCAUAAACAAUCAAACAAAACUAUAAUAUAUAUAUAUAUAUAUAUAUAUAUAGCAUCACCAUGUAGAUAAACAGGUAAGGAAAAUUGAAUAUAUUCAAAUUGUAAGUAGAACCUUAAAAAAAAAAAAAAUCGGCUGAUGUAAAAGACGAUGCUUGUGUUGAAGAAGAUUAAUGGGGACAGGGAAAACCUAAAGAAUUAGGGUUUGCGUUUUCAUGAUUAUUAUUUAUAGAGUCGUAAGAACUUAGAUAUUUUUUUAACAAACGAGAUUAAAAUAAAAUAAAAAAUAUAAACUAUUUAGAUAAAAAAAAAAUUAAAAAUGUGAAUUAUAUAUAUAUAUAUAUAUAUAUAUAUAUAUAUAUAUAUAUAUAUAUAUAUAUAUAGAUUCAUAUAUGGAAGAUUUUAGUUUUUUUUUUUGGUUACAUGAGAAAAUGGAAGGAAAAAAAACGAAAAUAAACCCAAAGGACAUACCUAGGGUAUCGCCUAGUAACGUUGAUGCUAAACAAUGAAGAGGUUCAUUGAAAAUAGGGUUAAAUAUGUUUUUGGUCCCUAUAAAAUAGGGGCCUUUCAAGUUUAGUCCUUACUUAAUUUUAAUGAUUCUUUUAGUCCCUAAAAAAAAAACUGCACUCAAUAUUAGUCCCUCCUCAAUUCAAAUUUGUUUAAUUUAUGUUUAAAUUAACUCUUGAGUUUUUGAACAAUUUUUUUACAGACGUGUUAAGAACAUUACUAAAAGUUCCUAUGCAAAAAAUUGUCGCAAAAUUUGAUUUCUACCUCCAGAUUUUGUUAAUUUAUCUUUAACUUUUGUCGUUUUAAAAAAUUCAUAUUUAAUUCGUUUCAUGUUAAAAAAUUCUAAAUUUUAGUAAAUGAACCUUUCAUAGUGUUCUAAACUUGUCUCAAAAAAAUCGUUCAAAAAUUUAAGAGUGUAAGGAUAAUUAAACAAACUUUGUUGUAAUAGGGACUAAAAUUAGAAGUAAUUCUUUUUUGUAAGGACUAAAUAUUUUAUUAAAAUUAAGUAAGGAUUAAACUUGAAAAAUCCCUAUUUUAUAGGGACCAAAAACAUAUUUAACCUGAAAAUAAUAAGAUGAUUUGAACGGUUAGCUCUCAUCUUAGCAAGAAUAACAACACAAGAAUUCCCCUCCUUAAGGAUAUGAUAAAUUGAAAUAGACCAAUCCUUAGCAAGAUGCACCCGAAUGAGUUCUAAGAGAUUUGCAUAAUGGUGGAACCUUGUAGUCUCCUUCAUUAUCAACUGCAUUACGUGAAGAGAGUCGAAGUAGCAUAUGAGCUUUUUAUAUCCUGCAUCCCAACACAAUUUUAUACCAGUCAAUAGAGCUUGAAUUUCAGCAUGUAUGAUAUUUGAGAUCCCUGCACUACCAAAUAAAUCAACUUGAAAACUUCCAUCGUGCUUACGAAUUAGACCACCAUAACCUGCCUUUCUAUUGUAUUUGUCAACGCGCUUCCAUCAACAUUGAGAAUCAUGGUGUCCUCAUCUCCAUGUUGCCAACUCACCAUCCUUGGUAUGAGUACGAGUAUCCAAGGAGUUAGUACCAAAAGCCUGGUGAGCAAGAUGAUGCUGAGAAAAAAAUAGUUACAACGGUUGAAUGCAUGUUUGGUUGGAUAUUAUCAAAAACUAACUUGUUUCUUGUACACCAAAUAUUCCACAUAAUCAAAGGUGCAAGAAUUCCGACAUCACUUACUAUUUUGUGGAUGAUCUUAGCUAUAUUAUUCAUGUCUAUCACCGAGCACAAAGAAAGAGGGUUUGGGAAACCACAUCAGUGCCAAACUACUGCAAAUCAUGAGUAAGAAAGGAGACAAUGCAGAAUAAUCUCAUCUUCAUUUUGGCAGAAUGGGCAGGUGGGAGAGACAUUGAUACCUCUGUGUGCCAAAAGUGAUUUGGUUGGAAUAGAACAGUGGGAAGCUUACCAAAUAAGGAUUUGUAUGCUAACAACCAUAGGUAAUUUCCAAGUUUCUUGAGAGGAUUCCAUUUCACGUUGAGAGAUAAGCCAAUGAUGAUAACCACUACGCGUUGAAUACUCUCCAUUCAAACUAGCAUUCGAGAUCCAGGUGUCCUCGAUCGACGGUAUAAUGCAAGGGUUUAAACUUUUGAUGGCUUGAGAAAUUGUAAGGGGUAAAGUUGUAUGCAAGUCAUCUACAAUGCAUAUAUUAUUAGAGUGAUGAUACAUGUACCAUCUCAUGUGGCAAUACACCCCAUGUGGCAAUACACCCCUUACACCCACACAAAAUUCUGACACGUGGCAACUUGGACCCCACAUAAAUAGAAGAUAAAGUGUAGUUGUGAGAUGAAGUUACUAAAAUAUCCCUAAUACAUGGGGUGUACAAUGGAGUGUAAGAAUAAGGGAUGUAGGAAUAAAGGGUGUUCAUGUAACAUUUUCCUAUUAUUAUUCCACAAAGUGGUUGCUUACGGACCCAAGGUGGAAUAUUUUAGUUUGGUUGUCGGAAUUGUCAUUUGGUUUUAUUAAUGUCUUAAUGUCUUAUGAAAGUUAUAUAUGUAUUUUUAGCGGGUUUUCUGCUUUCAAAAUCACUUACUCGUGGUCAUUUUGAUUGUAUUGUUGCUAUUUUAACAUUUGAAUGAAUUAAGUUUAUUUAUUGUAAAAAAAAGUGAUAAUGCACAAAAGUAACAUAAUAUUUAGGCUUAAUUACACUUUUGGUCCUCGGGUUUUGGCCUACUCACGAAAAUAAUCCUGCCCUUUUAAAACAGAACAAAAUUGUCCUUCAAUUAUUAUUUUUGUUGCAUUUUUCGUCCUACUCCCCAUUUUAUCCUCCAAAAACGCACAUGUGUCAGAUUUUUAACUGAUGUGGCAAAAAAACACCUAUGUGGCAAUUCCCACUUGGAAACUGUCAUUUAAAUCAAUUAAGUAAUAAAUUUAGAAAACAAUUAAAAAAUAUAAAAUGCUUAAAAUAAAAUAAAAAACCUAUGUUGUAAAUCAAAAUCCAAGCAUAAGAACCCUAAUUCUAAUUCCAUAAGAACCCUAAUUCCCAAAUCAUUUCCAUCUUCGAUCCCUUCCAUCUAGUUCUUAUUUUGUUGUUGUCUUCUUCCCCAUCUUCAUUUUCGUCCAAUUCCUUCAUUUUCAUUUUCGUUUUCUUCUUCUUUUUCUAUUUUCUUCAAACAAGGCUGGUGUUAAUGCCAAAUAGAGAUUAAGUUGUGAAGUUUGGAAUUAAGAGUGAUAUCAUUCUUGAAUCUCCAGUAAAGAGCAGGACCACACACCAUUAAAGCUGAUAUCAUUGCAAACAAAACCAAACACCAUCUUAACCAUGAUGAUGAUGAAUCAGAUCUCCCUCUUGACAUUCUUUCUUUAUCAGAUCUAAUUCUUCUUCUAUUUUCUCAAUUCAGAAACAAACAAACAAACAAAGAGUGCUGGUUAUAUGUUGUUUGCCGAUUUGAUUUGAACAAGUCGUAGUAACAGUGUUGUACUUGUUGUGUUGUGUUCCCACUUCCUUCUCGUUUCCAUGUCAUGUCCCUCACAACCCUUUUCCUUUUAUUUUAUUUUUCUUUUUUCGUUCAUUCAUAGUAUAAUAUGUAAAUAGAGAAAGAAGAAUCUUCAACUACGAUGAAGAUGUUCUUUUCCGGCGAGAUCUAGAUUUGGUUGGUUAUUGGGUUUGCUCUGCGUUUUCAGAUCCCUUAUGGUUUGAAACAACUUAAUUUUGUUCCAAUCAAUGAUGUAUGGAUUUGUGUUUUCCCAACUCUGCUACUGUUAGGAGCUGUUGUGUGUUGUUGUUUUCCCCCUUCUGCGCUCCUUGAGUGGCUUGUCCAUAAACAAAGCCUGAAAAAUACAACACCACACAGGGAAUAGAAAUGCCAAAAUAGUGGUAUCAU